rnacentral:lncRNA from 1 species
AUUACACAACAAACAUUUCUCUUUUUCUUUAUAGGAUGAAAAAGAGGAGAACCCAAUCUUCUUUUCAAACAUUUUCAUUUUUAUUCUGCUAUUUAUUUUGGGAUUUUUAUAUUAUCAAGAUCCAACCCAUCGAUAUUUUAUGAUCUUCGUAUUAGCUUUAGCUGGGGCUUCAGCUAUCUAUUUUCUAUUCCUAAGCAGGACGGGCUUGUGGCAAGUUCUGUCUUUUUCAAUUUAUUUUCUGAUAAAUCUAUUUUAGGAAUAUCACAUUCCAAUAAUGAAAGAACCCUGUUCGGUGUACCCGAUGUGACUCUCAUUUACAUUCUGGUAAAUCAAUUAAUGUCUCUUUUUUUAGUUAUUGAGACGAUAAACUGUCUCUGGUCAUUAAUGAAGGAAAAGAAAUGCUGGUCUUUGUAUAUAUAGUUAUGUUAUACUUUCUUAGUCAAAAAUUACAUCAUGAUUGUUUAUGGUUGGAGGUUUGGAUUGAUAGUAUGAGUUUUCAGAUAGGGUUUUUAUCUCUUUUGAGAUUCUUAAUAAAAAGAAAGAAAAACACCAAAGAGUAGAUGAUUAGCCGAUGUAUGUAUUAUGAAACGGGUAUACGAGAUCCCCCGGGUCGAUUUUAGGCAUUCACAAGGUUCAAAGAAAGGGUGGGACAUUGAGAAAAGGAUAUGUAUACCGAACAAUAUUCAAAUAACUUUCUCUAAGAUGAAUUAGCUGCCGAAGAGGGAAGGGGCAUUGAAAGAAGACAGACAUAGUGGAAAUGCUCCUAGACUAGAGAAGGUUCCCUCGUCAGUCUGAUCCUCUCAACUCAUACGGAAGCAGGGAAAAUACAAUAACAAUAGUUAUUGUAUUUUUUGCUCUUACACUCGUAAGGAGAUGGGGAAAGGUGAGAUCGUAGGUCAGCAACAUUCUCUAUUUCUUCUUUUAAGAUAUUUCUAAUUACCCAAUCGAAUAAAGACUGUACUUCGAACUAGUUUUUAGCUUGAACGUGAUGAAUGCUAUCUCUUUCUCGCAACUUGACUGUUUAACAAGAUGGUACGAAUCCGCUUUUUGACAACAUCUUGGAAGGAAGUAAUAUUCAGCCAUCCACUCAAGGGUUUGGAGUUACCAUUUUUGCUAUUUUUGCCAAGGAAUAAAGUAAAGGGACUAUCGAUACCCCUUCGCGUUCGAUUUGGUUUAGAGUAAUCGCUUGUUCCUUCAAUCUUUAGAGUUAAGCUCUUUUCCAUUCUUCCUAAUGGACUACGAGGACCCUAGGUUUAAGGACUCUUAUAAAGAAGGAUUAUUGGCUUUACUGCUGCCUUACCACUAGCUUAACACUAGCAGCACAGGCUUACCUAUUAAUCACAAACCCUUUCCUUACUUGCUUACUUCCUAGCUUGCCUAGAGAUAAAGAAUCAAAGAAAGAAAGAAAGGAUCCCCUAUUUACAACGUACAAGGAAGGGAAAGACCAUUGAUGUUGCUUUCUCCUAAGAGAUGCAAGUAGGAAUGGAUAAGCUUGUUUAAAUGCAAUUUUAUGAGAGUUUAAACACUCCAAAUAGCUGGCCGUCUUGAUCACUUAGAAAUGCAUGACUUGAAACUACGAUUGAAACUAGAUCACUAGAUGGAACUAAACUCGCUUAGGCCCUUGACCUUUCUUUAGCUGAGAAAAAGCACAUAUGCUCACCUGCCCUGACUUGAACUAUCUUAUUUGUUGGCUUUCCCUUAUCUAAUGGAUUUUCUUUCCCAACUUCAAUGCCAAGGGGGAUGUUAAGGCUUACUCAUCGCUGACAACCUCACACAAAGGAACUACAAUGGAAAAAGAUGGCCAUGAAAAAAAAAGGGGGGGGGGGGGUCUUAGCUUAGACCUCCAAUUGAGCUUGCUUUUGUCUAAGACCCUUAAGGAAACUACUUGGACUUUCAUAUUAGGACUCGAACUGAGAAAAGGGCAAGAUAUCAAUCUAUGUUAGCUGCCCUUUCCACUAUUGACCUAGUUGCUCUAGCUAACUCACCCGCGAAUCGACUUGCCCAUUCAUUUUCAUUGCCGUUUGAACAACUUGAUAGGACGUUUGCUUUUGUGCAUUUUACUUUUAACCUAACUCUAUCUUUAGCCCUGACUUAUGAAAAGAAAAGGACAACCUAACUUAUUCAUAACCUACUUUUAUUUUUAGGAUCUUUCACUGGAGGACAUAUCUCUGAUUAGACCUCACCCACGAAAAAGUGUAGUCCCGACGAAUAAUACAAUACUAUUUCAAUAAAAUAUAAAAUAUAAUAUAAAAAAAAAUACAAUUUGAAUUCAUUGAGAAAGCAAGACGAAUAGGAAAUAAAGAGGUCAAGAGGAAGAAACUUUGAAUAUCGUAUCCGAUCGUAGUCUUUUAGCCACGGACGCUAUUGCUUUUUGCAUAAAAAAUAUCGGUAAAAUGCAAAAUACAAUCCCAAUUCUAUAACUUAAGAAUGAAAUUUUAUUACAACUCAAAAUCUUGGUAAAAUACAAUAUUCGUUUAUUUAUAUUUCAUACACUACCUAAAAAAAAAUCUCGAGACGUUUUAGCAUUCUCAAUUGAUGAAACUUAAGAUAGUAAAAAUUGAUUAAAGUUAUUCGAAAAUCCUUCUUUUAAAUUCCUAAUCUAGAAAGAGAAUAGAAAAGGUAAAAAAAAAUAACUAGACGAUAGAAUUCGAAUUCAAUAGUCUAAUAUGAUAAUAAGUCUUUUUCAUCUCAUUUUCUCGGUAAAACGCAACAUUUGUUUAUUUAUACUCUAGCUAUAGAAAGUAGACGACAAAUAAGAGUUUUCUGCUCUCUCAAUCUCGGAUAGGAUACCCAUUUUAAUAUUGAUUUUUCUUUUCUCGAUCUUUUUCAAUUUACUUUGUCAAUUGAAAGGAGAAAAGCGAACAACUCCCAAGAGAAUGAGCUAUUCUUAGAACUCUGUAUUCGAAUAUGAUAAUUUGAUAAUUGCAUCUCAAAAUCCCGGUAAAAUGCAAUAUUUGUUUAUUUAGACUCUUUAGACUAUUAUCAUAUUUUCAUUUUAUAUAAUAUAUAAUGUUCUUUCGAACUUUCACUUCUUAUUCAACUUCUUCUUCGUUCCCUAUCUAUUCUCUAGACAGGACAGAUGGGAUUGUUGGUUUCACUAUCUUAACUCUCAACUAUCUUUUAACUAGAUUAGGAUAAUUCUUCUUCUUUCAAUUGAUUUUUUUCUUUCAAGAUCAACUAGAAACCAUGAAUAAAGAAAGAAAGAAGAAAAAGAAGGUAGUUCUUUCGAGCUCUUUAUUCUUAUUCUUAUUCUAUGAUAAUAUAGAAAGCAAUCUCUUCCUUCUCUUCCCCUUAUUCUAGUCUGAAUGUCAGUAAUUGGUAGUGUAUUAUAUAGAUUGUGUGUGUGUAUUUCUCUAAAGAGUGUCAAGAUAUGUUACUGUAUUUUUGGUUAGUGUCCCUAAUCGAAUGAGUGGCUACAUGUUUUAACGGCUAGGAUAAAUAAACGGGUUGACUGUGAUGAGGUAGCAACGAUUCGGAGAUAGAAAUUUCUUUACGGUAACCAAAGUGCCAUCGAGUUAGCUAUUGGAUGAAGAUCAGUAGGUUAGGAGUUCACACCAGCCUAAGGAGAAAUGGCUAUUACUGAUGUUUUCACAAGUCUUUUUCAAGUAGGUUAAGCUCUAGACAAGAAAAAAGAAGAAAAAGCUGUCAUUUGAAAAAAAGAGAGAGAGUUCUUACGAAUUCGGAAUCAUAGGAUCCUCGACUGUACUUUACCUUGGAAUCAUGGGCACUAGGAUGUGAAGCUGUUCACUCUGCUUUUGCUGGUAUAAAAUCUGCUACUAGACUUUUUGCCUUAGGAGCAAUUCUUGCUUUUGUUUUUGAAGCUUUUCUCGCUCAAGUCAACUCUGAACUCCUGGUCUCAUGUAAAAAAAGAAAAAAAAGGGGGAAGUCAGCCGAAGGUAGGACCAAUACAGUAGUUGUUAGGAUUAGAGGGCAGUUUACUCCCUUCUUAUAAGAUGGUUAGUUUACUACUUGCUCUUGUUAACCCAUUCCCCUUUAAGAUGGGAAAAAGAGUUUCAUAGCCUAGGGAAUAGGAAUCUACUUGCCAACUUCUCCUACUCUUCUUUAGGGCGCGGGUUCUGCUUUCACUAGAUUCUCUAAAGCUAAAAGAAAAAAAUUAGCCUGAGGGAUAAGCUCUUUCUCUUCUUAGCUGUACAUCCAAUCUUGGGAGUCAAGUAAGGGCAUGGCUGAAGCCAGCUCCUAACCCUAGGGUGAGGUAUCAACAUAAAGUCAAGUAAGACAGAACGAUUAGCUUAGCGGCGAACAAGAAUCAUUCCAUCAACUCUAGAGCUGGGAAUUCUCCUUCUAUACUUUCUUUUGCCACAAGAGGAGUCGAUUUAUAGUCAGAUGAAGAUAGUUACAAAGCGAAAAAGACAGACAAGAUCUGAGUUGAAAUCGAUCCCAGACUCACUCUUAUAAAGUGAAACAGCGAGCUGAAAAUUUUAGAUAGAAAAGCGAUCAUUUCUAAUGAUGUUCAAAUCGUUCUAGUGGAUUAGCUAUAAUCUAAUAAAUAUGAAAAGUCGAACUCAAAUACAAGUUCAUUGCUUUGUUUGAAUUGUUUUAGAAUGUAUUACUGAUGACUUCGCUUUGAUUUGACAAUAUUAAUGAUAGAUCACCAUAAGAUUGGCUAAUGACAAAGCUCAUUCUCAUCACUUAGAAAGCUUCUUACAUUGUUCCAAUUAUACAAGGAACCUUUUUCAUCAGAACUGCGGGGCUUGACUUUAUUCGAGAUGUUUGGAAUAAAUAAGCGAAUGCGGGAUAUGUUGCCUAUGAGACUCAUUAAUUAUUUCAAAGGGUCGAAGGUGCCAUCUCGAGUAUAGUGUUGAUCUUCGAAAGGUCAACCUCUAUUCCGUUUUGAUGGACAAUGAAUCUUCAAAAUUGACCAGUUGAGACACCGAAGGCACAUUUCAAUGGAUUCAUCAAUCAAUAGAAGAUAGCCACACCAAUGCACUGAGAAUAGGCGAAUAGAAUACAUGACAAAAGGCAAGGCCAAGGAAAGCAUUAAAUCCAAAAGUGACUGUUUGAGAAUAACCUAUUUUCAGUAAAAAUAUACAGGAAUUUGAGAAGUAAAGGCAACUAGCGAAGAUGCUGAAAAGGAGUUGUUUGACACAUGGAUCCAUAGUAGAGAAUCGGAUAAGGAAUGCACUCUUACUGUUACCAUUGGGGGAAAGAAAGCCUAAACCACAUGGAAUCAAGGCUCUGAAAGACCUUUUCCAAGCAUUGCUAGAGUAAGAUAGUCUCUUCUGUCUAUCUAUGCAAUUAAGUGCCAUCUUGCUUCUGCCAAAAUCAAAGCCAAUACUUGGAUGCUUCAAAGAUUUGGUUCACGUCGUACAUUCAGGUACUUGCCAAUCUGCAAACACCCUCACCUUUUUUUUUGCCUGAGCAACUUUAAAACUGCAGCCUCAUUCAAAAUAUCCUAAUAGUAAAUUAUAUUGGGUGCUAGUAACACUAAAUCAGAGUUCUCUCGCCUUUCUCCCAAUUCACAUUGACGGUUUUCAGCUCUAAGCAAGAAGAAGGAAAGGACGGUUAGCUCUUCUUUCCUGGAAGUGAAUUAGGUAGAAAAACGUAUGCUUUUCUCUACGAUAGCCGGGUAGUAAUCGAAGACCAAUAACUGUAAGGGUUGUAAGUGCGCUUUGAUAUCUAAUAUCCAUAGAAAGCUAUACCAAUAUCACGAAGAGAAAUGGUGAAGAUUUACAAGUUGUUCGUGUGAUAGAAAAGAUUUCCCCUUCUUAAGAACAAGCCUUUUAGGCCAUAUUUUUUUUCUUGAAAGGAAGGGCUAUUGGAGAUAAUUGGAUGGGGGUGUAGACUUGGGUAUGAACCAAUUUGUAGAGUUUGGAUGAAGUUAGAAGACCUUAUCUCUUCUGUUUCUUUCUUUAUUCGAUCUUUCCUUUAGCUAUCAGAUGCAUUGGUAGCAUCAAUAUUGUAAGAAGCAUUAGUGUUUAUUUGAUGCACAAGCAAAUUGAGUGUGAUGAGGCUUCUUGAAAAUGGAUCAAUGCAAGCUUUUCCACCAACUUGGUAAGUCACAUUUUUAUUUCUCAUAUGUCAUGAUCAAAUUCUUUUUAGUUAAGUUCCAAGGCCUGUAUCCGUGCUUCCAAUUGAUCUCUCAUCUCUUCUGAAUUACUAACCCAACUAAAGUAAAAGAUUUCUAUAUCAUGCAAUGACAUGAUGAAUGAAUGAUAAUAAUCUAUGAAUGAGUGAAAUGCAUGAAAUGAAUGAAAAUAGAUAAAUAAGAAACAAACAAACAAAUAUGUGCAAACAUAUCGAUGUUAACAUGAUUUAUGCAAAAGGGAGUAACAAACAAGAAUAGAGUUAGCGUACAAUAUAAAUAAUGAAAAAAACAAAACAAGUUAGUGCACAACUUAUGUAAAACAACAAGUUUAUGACUUAAAUUUGGGUUAUUUCUACAAAAGGGAAAGACAUGACUUUAUCCUAAAGCUAGACCCCUAAGGUUCAUUAUAUAUAGGGUUAAAGGUUUAAUACAAGCUACAAGGUUCUCAAAUUGUUCCUUACUAUUGUCCAUGCCGAACUAGUAAAGCACUCUAAUCCUCACCCAUAAUAGACUUCAAAUGAAAAAUAUUCAAUUUGAGUAAGAGUAUUUUGCUAGCCAUUAUGGAGGUUUACACCUCACGAAAGCAUAGGUAUUUUACCUUAUCUUAAAAAAGAUAGAGCUUUGGUUUAGAGCUCAUGUUAUGAUAUACUCGUGGAGUGUAUGGAGGAACAAAUUCUUGAACACAUUUCAAACAAAUAAGAAAAUAAUCAAGCAAAUAAAUGAAUAAAGAAAACUAGACUAUUCAACCAAGACUUUAGGAUCAUAUAAUUUUUUUUGGUUGACCCUCUUACAUCGCUAGCAAAGUGGCUAAGUUUCAUAAUGUAUUAGUCUGAACACACGAUCACUAGAUGUAAAAGUAAAAAAUAACCACCAAUCAUUUUUGUUGAGGUACAUUAGCCAUCGACUUAUCUUUUGGUUUACGAAUUCGAGGUUGAGUUCGGGAGUAUGGUUACGUAUAAGGAAAUGUUAUAGCACCCUCAUAGCACCUAUCUAAGAUGAUACCAAUUAAUCUUAUAAAAUCCUAAAAAUAGUCUUGUUUAAAUAGCCUUUUACUUAAUAUUUCAUUUUAUUUAUUAUAUUUUUAUUAUUGAAAAUUUCUAAGCUAUUCCGACACUUUCGAUAAAACUUAAGAAUCUCUCAUCUAAAUAGUAUUUAAAGAAAUCACUUAUUUCUUUGAAAUAUGCUCUGUUGUAAGAUUUAAUUUAAUAUUUUGAAAAUGAAGUAGAUUAUAAUUUCCUUAUAACGAUUCUUAUGGAAUGGCUUUAUAAUUUUGGAGAAAAAUCACCACUUGCGAUUUCCCUCUUAAUUUUAUUAUCGAUGAAAGUUUAAAUUUACUUUAAAACAUUUAUUUGUUGUUUAUUUCAUUAUUGAGUAAAAAAAAAAAAUUCAUUGGUUAAAUUCCUAAAAUAUUUUCAACACUUUUAGAAUAUUUGGAGAAAAUUGUUUUACCUAAGAAAUUUUUGAUAAAGUCACCACUCAUGACUUUUAUUCUUAUAAAAUUUACUUACUUUAACAGUUUAAAUAUUUAUAUUUUUUUAAUUUUUUAUUGAAAAGAUUUUCAAAUAAAUCUUACCAACACUUUUGACAAAAUUUUGAAAAAUAUUUUUUUAAGAAAUCGCCACUGUGAUUGUAUUACUAUUGUUAUUAUUAUUUUUCUAUAUUGAUUUAAUUCUUGCUAUUUAUUCUAAGUGAUUAUUAUUAUUAUUAUUAUGAAAAAAUUUUAAAAUAUUUUUAAUACUUUUAGAAUAUUUUAGAAAUUUUCUUUAUAUAAAAGGUCAUCACGUAUAAUUUUAUUUUUUUAUUAUUAAUAUUUUUUAUUUUUAUUUUCAUUUUUUUUAUGCUUCAAAAUUUUUUAAAAAAUAUUUCCAACAUUUUUAGAAUAUUUUUAAUAAAAUCAGCACUUGUGACUUUAUUGUUAUUUUAUUAUUUUUUUGUCUUUUUAUAUUUUUCUUUAUUAUUAUUCAUUAACAUUUAAUUUUCAUUAUUUAAUUUUAUUAUUAUUUUUUAAAUUAUUUAAGAGAAAUUAAGAUUUUAAAUUUUCUUAAGUUUAUUUUUUUGCAAUUAUUUUAAAUUAAUUUCAAUAAAAAAUACUUUAUGCUUUUUACCAUUUAUUUUAUUUUUCCAUCAAAAGUUUAUACAAAAACAAAAUAAAAUCAUAAAUUAAAUAAUAGAAAUAUAUAAAAAAAUUAAGCAAAAAAAUAUAAAAUAUAAAAAAUAUAACAAAAUACCUAAAAUGCCCAUGGUCAACCUUGGUCAAAGGGCAGUUCAAAUGGCUCGAUCAAUCGAUUUAGCUGGAUUAGUCAACAAGAAAAAAAUCGAGUCACAAGUUGGAUGCGUAGAUCUCAAGUCAAAUCCAAAUCUAUGCUUGAAUCCUCCUUGGCAAAACAAUGUCAUUUUGUUAGGUUAUAAAUAGCCUAAAUCUUUUUUUUUUUCAUUUUUCUCUUUUUCCUCUCUCUCCUCUCUUAGAUUCUUUCUAUUUCUCUAAGCUGAUAAAAAAAUUUAACCAAAACCAGAUUCUUGUAGCUUUUUCAAAAAUCAGUGGUCAAAAAAUUCAAAUAAACCCAGAUUUUUGUAAUUGAAAAAUUUAACGAUUACCAAAAAAUACAAUUUUUUUUAGUUUUCGAUGAGGCCAAAAAAUUUUUUUAAAAAUCAAAAAAUUUUCUAAAAUGAUCCUCUUAUCCUCCUCCACACUUUUCCUAAAAUGGUUUCUCCAUAAAAAAAUCCCAAGCUUACUAAAUUGAGGUUUUUAUUUUCGGUUGAAACCUUCUUUUUUUUUGUUGCUUUUGUUGGUUGUUUGGUUUUUUUUCUAUGUUUGUGGGGUAUUGUUGUUAUAAAGUUUUUUUUUUUUUGUGACAAGUGAAUCAACACUUAACAGAGGCAGUGUUGAUAUUUUUCAAAAUAAUUUCUAACCUUAAAGUUUCUCCCCCUUUCCCUCUCCCCCUGUUAUUCACUGUUAUUUUAUGUGUAUUGGAUAUAUAGAGCUUGCAUAGGAAAUCAAAUCUCAGAAAAUCUAGGAUUAAGAGAUGUUUUUCAAAAUCUUGGCACCAAAAGUUUUGCUACAACUUUCUGACAAAAUUUGCAUUGGUAAAUGUAAAUUUAGGGUGGCAAACGGUUGGAGCUUGACUUUAGUUCCAAACAAAUUUUGUAGCAUCUCUUUUUUAUUGAUUUUGAUUUUUUUUUUUUGACUUUCUUGCUUCCUUUUUAAAUUUUUUUUGUAUGAUUAAUAUAAUAAUAAUAAUAAUAAUAAUAAUUGAACCUAAUAUAUAAUAUAUGUGAUCAAAAUUCUUGAUUGAAUUUAAACUGGAUAUGAAUGCAAUUUGGGUCAAUUUUGAUCAAUAUGGUACAAAUUAGGUGUCGAUAAUGUGAUUCACCUCCCUAUGUGGGGUCAAUAGCAAUGGUGUCUACGUUGCUAUUGUUAAAUUAGGCGAUAUGCUAUAUCCACAACAUGAUUGCAUGAGUAAUUUUUUUAACUGACGAUUUACAUGCACUAUGAUAUUAUAGAUAUAAUAAAAUUUCAUUUUUAAUAUUUAUUGAUUCAUGGUAAGUUUUUCAUGAUUAAAAGUAUAUGCUUUAAUAUUGUGAUGAGUAUCCACUUAUGAGUAUUUAUCAUUUCUGAUCAAAGCAUAUACCUUUUAUAUGAAAUUAAUGUUAACUAACAUAUUUUAAUUUUUUAAGCAAUUCUUCAGAGUUAAAGUGGGGAAAGGAGUUUUUAAGAGUCAUAAUUAAUAUGUGUGAAGAGAAUAAACACUUUUUAUUAAAUGUAUAUUCAAAAGAAAAUUAAUUUGGAAACAAACUAAUAUGAUGACAAAUGAAGACAACAUGACCACUAAAAAAAUAUUUUGAGAAAGUGAGAAAUGAUUAACAAUAUUAGUGAAUGAUUAAAUUCAAGAAUAACAUGUCAUGAGUCACUUAUUUGUGCCUUUAAGAGUUAUAAUGGGUUCUUUUUCUAAACUUGUUGAGAUAACAAAUGUGAAUUAAAUUAUCAAACCAAAUGGUGUUUGAUAAAUUUAAAGGUAUCAUAACAUAUAGAUCCUUAAAUUUAUAGCUAGACUUAACAAGAGGAGUUAUCGUCAAUCUUUUAACUAGGUGUGAUUGGCCACCUAAUGAAUUUAUCUUUUUAAGGAGCUCCUAAACUUGACUAAAGAUCCCUAAAAGAAUAAGUUUUGAUCUACUAAUCAAACAAGGUUCGAAAGUUCAGUUAUAUAUGAAAAAUGUUAUAGCACCCCCACAUGUCCAUUAAAAGAUGAUAUCAUUUUAUUUUAAAUUAUCCUAAGGUUUUUAUGCUAAUGGUCUUAAAUUUAAUAUUGAAAAUAACUUUUAAGAUUUUUUCAUCAAUCUAGUAGAAUUCUUAAAAAAUACUUCCUCACUUCAAAAGUAUUUAAGAACCCUAUUUAUUUUUUUCAAGAGGCUCCGUCGUUCGAAAAAAGUUUAAUCAUUUUUUUACGUUAGUUUUUUAUUGAAAAUAUAUCUAAUUAUUCCACCAUUUGGGCCUAUUUAAAAAUUUCUUUUUAAUUUCUAAAUUUUUCACCAUUUAGGUCAAUCUAGAAAUUUUUUUUUUUUUUUAUCUUUGGAAAGAAAAUAAUAUGACAAUUAUUUUUUGAAGUUUCAUUUAAAUUCUUCCACCAUUUGGAACAAAUUUAAAGAAAUUUCUCACAUAAAAUUUUUUUAGAUAAUCAUCCAUUUGAAAUUUUUAAGAAUCUCAUCAUUGGAUAAUUAUCAAAUAUUUUCAACCAAAAUUUUUAUUUAGAAAAGAAUACAAUUACUUUUAUUAAAAUUUCAUUUAAAUUAUUCUUUCAUUUGGGAUAAAUUUAAAGAAAUUUCUCACCUAGAGAUUUUAUAAAAAUUUAUCAUUUGAAAUUUUUAAGAAUCUCAUCCUUGGAUAAUUAGUAUUUAAUUCCAAAAUUUUUAUUAAAUUUUUUUAUCAAAAAUAAAUAUUAAUUAUUAUUAUUAUUGAAACUGUAUCUAAAUUAUUUUACCAUUUAUGACAAAUUUAGAAAAAAAAAUUACCUAGGAAUUUUAUAGAAAUUUAGUAUUUGAAAUUUCUCAAAAUUUCAUUAUUGGAUAAUUAUUAUUUAUUCUAAAAAAAUAUUUAUUUUGUUUUAUAUUUUUUAUUUUUUCUAAAAUUUAAUCAUGCAAAAAUACUAAUAAAUAAAUAAAUAAAAUAAAAAAAAUAUCAAAACAAGAAAACGGUUUCACUCAACUACAAGCAAAGGAAACAACUAAAACACAAACUCGUGACUCGGCUUGGCUGGAGCCAAUGACAGGGAUGCAGGUCGAAAGCGGGUCAAGUGCUCGAAUUGGGUCAGCUUGAACAGAAACACGCGGAUCCUGAGACUGUUUAACCUUUAAAACGAUGUCAUUUUGGGUUGUAUAAAAGGCAAGAAUCUUUUUUUUUCUCAGAUCUUCUUCUUUCCCUCUCUCUCUUCUCUUUUUUUCUCUCUCUAGAAAAUAAUGAACACUGGUUGAAUCUUUAUCGAAUUCUAAAAAUUUACAUCGAAAUCUAGGUUAGUUUGUUAGAAGUUCAUCGAUUUCUAGAAAACUAAUGUCGAAAAUUGAAAAACUUGCCAGAAUCUGAAAAUCUCAUUGGAAAGUCAUGGAAUCUUUAAAUAUCGUUUAAAUAUUCAACCGAAAACUAGAAAUUUUUCCAAAAAAAUUAAAAAAAAUAUUCUUUUUAACAUAAAAAAAUUGUCUGGCUUCUUUUGUGUGCUUUUUUUUUUUAUCUUUAUGUGUUUUUUUCUCUGCCUUUCUUUGUGUCCCCUGCUUGGCUAAUUUGGGUUUGUAUUUAUAGAGUUUAAAUCAAAGAACCCAAAACCAGAAAGGGUUUUAAUCCCCUUUAAGUUUUAACUCUAAAUUUUAAGUUCAACUUAAACUCUUCAAUCUACACACACAUCGUUUCACACAAACUCAACCUGCCAAAUUUUUUAUUUUUAUUAACAAAAACAAAAUUAAUUAAAACCCUGGAUAAAUUUGGGUGUCUACAGUUGCCUCUCUUUACGUAUUUUUCAUGAAACAAAAAUUGUACAAAGACAUAGACAACCCAAUUAGGAAUCAACUCAACAUAUCUUUUUUAUUUUUUUAAGCGUACAUAAACUUCUUGAAUAACAUAAAAAUUCCUUUAAACAAAGGCUCCAUGAUUUAAAAAAUAAAUAAGCUCUCUUAAAUAAAGGCUCAAUAAUUUUAAAAACUAAAUAAGGCUUUUCUAAGUAGAGGCUCAAUGACUUUUGAAAAGUAAAUAAAACUCCUUUAAGCAAAGGCUCAACAAUUUUGAAAACUAAAUAAGGUUCUCUAAGUAGAGGUUUAACGAUUUUUGAAAAAUAAAUAAGGAUCCUCUAAACAGAGGCUUAACGACUUUUGAAAAGUAAAUAAAGCUUCUCUAAACAAAAGCUUAACGACUUGAAAAAAAAUAAGGCUCCUCCAAACAAGGCUCAACAAUUUCAAAAAGUAAAACAGGACUCCUUUAAACAAAGGCUUAAUUGCUUUGAUAAAUAAAUAAGGCUCUUAUAAAUAGAGGCUCAAUGACUUCAAAAAAUAAAUAAGGCUUCCCUAAACAGAGGCUUACAACUUUUAAAAAAUAAAUAACGCUUUUAAAAAAGCUUCAACUUUGGAAAUAAAUAAAUUUNNNNNNNNNNNNNNNNNNNNNNNNNNNNNNNNNNNNNNNNNNNNNNNNNNNNNNNNNNNNNNNNNNNNNNNNNNNNNNNNNNNNNNNNNNNNNNNNNNNNNNNNNNNNNNNNNNNNNNNNNNNNNNNNNNNNNNNNNNNNNNNNNNNNNNNNNNNNNNNNNNNNNNNNNNNNNNNNNNNNNNNNNNNNNNNNNNNNNNNNNNNNNNNNNNNNNNNNNNNNNNNNNNNNNNNNNNNNNNNNNNNNNNNNNNNNNNNNNNNNNNNNNNNNNNNNNNNNNNNNNNNNNNNNNNNNNNNNNNNNNNNNNNNNNNNNNNNNNNNNNNNNNNNNNNNNNNNNNNNNNNNNNNNNNNNNNNNNNNNNNNNNNNNNNNNNNNNNNNNNNNNNNNNNNNNNNNNNNNNNNNNNNNNNNNNNNNNNNNNNNNNNNNNNNNNNNNNNNNNNNNNNNNNNNNNNNNNNNNNNNNNNNNNNNNNNNNNNNNNNNNNNNNNNNNNNNNNNNNNNNNNNNNNNNNNNNNNNNNNNNNNNNNNNNNNNNNNNNNNNNNNNNNNNNNNNNNNNNNNNNNNNNNNNNNNNNNNNNNNNNNNNNNNNNNNNNNNNNNNNNNNNNNNNNNNNNNNNNNNNNNNNNNNNNNNNNNNNNNNNNNNNNNNNNNNNNNNNNNNNNNNNNNNNNNNNNNNNNNNNNNNNNNNNNNNNNNNNNNNNNNNNNNNNNNNNNNNNNNNNNNNNNNNNNNNNNNNNNNNNNNNNNNNNNNNNNNNNNNNNNNNNNNNNNNNNNNNNNNNNNNNNNNNNNNNNNNNNNNNNNNNNNNNNNNNNNNNNNNNNNNNNNNNNNNNNNNNNNNNNNNNNNNNNNNNNNNNNNNNNNNNNNNNNNNNNNNNNNNNNNNNNNNNNNNNNNNNNNNNNNNNNNNNNNNNNNNNNNNNNNNNNNNNNNNNNNNNNNNNNNNNNNNNNNNNNNNNNNNNNNNNNNNNNNNNNNNNNNNNNNNNNNNNNNNNNNNNNNNNNUUCUUUUUCGGAGAAACGGCCCAACCAAGGAUCACCCUCUACACUGGGGGGCAAUUUUUGAAAAAAUUUUUUCACAAAAGGUCUCAAAAAAUAAAAAAAAAAUAAAAAAAAUAAAAAAUGCCACACAUGACUUGGGCAAAGUAAUGAGAUCCUUUUGUGUGAAGAAAGAAAAAAAGCAGUGAAAUGAUGUGGGGCAAAAUGCCAAGCUGCAUCAAAAUAAUCCUUCGGUCUUGAACCAUUUUUAAUAUAUGUUUUGAGCCUAUUAUAUCUAUUUUUUUUAUGACCCUUCACCUUGGCCUACAUUACAACCUUGAAAAGUCCAUUUGGAUCAAGUGUGAAUACCCAACUUGAAUGAUCAUAGGUUGAGCAAAGAUAUGCUCAUUGAUGAAGCAAUGAAAUCAUGCUACAUGAAAAUAUCAAACACUGGAUGAAAAAUGAGAAAAGAGAAAAAAAAAAAAGAAAAAAAAAAAAGGGAAAAAUGAGAAAAUGAGAAAAUGAAAAAAGAGAUCCAAAUUGAAAACCUGAAAGGGUGAUUUUGGUACCAAAAAAAAAAAGAUCCAGGUCAAAUGGCUCACAUGAAUGAAAGAUCAAAGACAUCUGAAGAUACCCUCAAAAGACUGGGGCAGAGUUCGCCAAGCUUAAGAUGACUUCAACAGUAAAUGAAUGAGUUUUUUGAAAAAAGAAUCCUAGAUUAAUGUUGAAAUUGUCUGAAUAUUCAUCAUUUGGACAUACCAUUUUACCUCAAUGACAUCCAAUUUAUUUUCUUUCCCAUUUAUUUUCUACCAAAAAUAGAUCUCCAUUGAUUAUCUUUACCAUAAUUCACUUUCUGUCCUCUUAUUGUUACACCCUUAGAAUGAAUUGAGAAAAUGCUUGAUUGCAUUGUAUUUGUCAAAAAUUUGAAAUGAUAAUGAAUGAAUGAAUAUGUGCUUAAAAGAAUCUUACAUUCAUUUGAAAAGAAAUCUAAGAUGAUGAAGAAAUGGUAGAAAACCUAAAAGAGAUGAUGGGGCAAAUCUUGAAAAGUGAUGAAUUGAUCGAUAUGACUUGCAAGAUAUGAUUGAAUGAUGAAGACAAUCAGUAGACAAAGUCUGUUUUGGAAUGGUUGAUGCUGAGACAAGGACCCAGUGAUGGUGGAUGAAAUUUGUUUUGAAAUUUGCUAGUGCUGAGAAAUUCAUUGAAUGAUGGUCAAGGGAUGAUCGAUUGAUGAAGUUUAUUCCAAAGUAUUGAAAAACAGAACAAGGAAAGAAUGUGAGUGGAAAGGACAAUUGAGAGCUACACUGGUUCAAUCUUAGAAGAGCAGUGCAAUUGGAUCCUUGAGGAAUCAAAGGGCUUGACACCCAAGAAAGAAAAAAAAGAGCUUGAGAAACUUGAGUACCAUACAUUAAACAGGAAUUAAUUGGCCAACAUUUGCAUAGCAUGCAUUGAAAAUCAUGCACAUUGCAUAGCAUACACUACUUUCAGGAAAGUAUAGUGUACAAAUUCAAGAAGCAGGGGUGUUCCAACAUCCCACAUGGAAAAGACAGAUAUGAAAAGACUUUGCAAGUUUGAGAAGAAACUUGUCAGGUAAGUUCUUAAUCCUUGAAAUAGGAUGUCUCUUGGUAUCAGGGUUGAUUUAUAAGACUUUUAGGCAUGAUCUCCUGAAAUUCCCUCAAACACAACUUUCAACUCCUUCGGACAUGAUUGUCUAGGAGUAUUUACUUUUCAAAGUUCGUUGCCUCUGUUUAGAGGAGCAAUUUACUUUUCCAAAGUCGUGGUACCUCUGUUUAGAGAAGCAAUUUACUUUUCAAAGUUCGUUGCCUCCAAAGUCGUGGUACCGUCUGUAGAGGAGCAAUUACUUUUACAAAGUUCGUCGCCUCUGUUUAGAGAGCAUUACUUUCCAAAGUCGUCGUACCUCUGUUUAAGAGGAGCCAAUUUACUAUCAAGUUCGUUGCCUCAUGUUUAGAGGAAGCAAUUACUUUCCAAAAGUGUGGUGCCUCAUGUUAGGGAGCGGUUGGUAAAAAAAAAUAAAAAAAACAAAAAAUAAAAAAAACCAAAAAAACAAAAAAACAAAAAAAACAAAAAAAACAAAAAAACAAAAAAAACAAAAACCAAAAAAUGAUUGAGUGAGUCUUGAUUGAGUGUCUACGUUUUUGCGCAAUCUUGUUUCCACAGAAAUGUGCAAAGAGGGCAGUGUAGACACCCAUUCGGUCGACCCAGAUCAAUUGGCCUGACCCAAAUGGGUAAGCCCAAUUCAAUUUUAUCUUGUAUUUUUUUUCUUCUUUUCUUCUUCUUUUGUAUUUUAUGUAUUGUAUUAUUUAUUAUUAUUAUGUAUUAAUAUAUGUAUAUAUUUAUUUAUUAUUUUUUGUUAGUAUUUAUGUGUAUUUUAUUAUUUAUGUAUAUAUAUAUAUUUUUUAUCUUUUUAUUUUAUUCAUUUUUGUAUUUUUACUUAUCUAAUUAUAUAUCUGAUAUAUUUUUUUUAUUAUUAUUUAUCCUAUAAUAUCUGCUGAUUUAUCUUCUCUAAUUAUCUAGUUUUUUAUUUUAUUUGAUUUUGAUUUUGGAGGGCUGAGAUUGAAGGCUGAAGAAUCUCAUUGGAAAUGGGAAUUCAAUCAGAAGAGUCCAGUGGGAUUCAAAGAUUGAAUUCUCGUCCAAGGAGGAAUUGGGAUUGAUCAGGAACUCCUGAUCAAUCCCUAUAAAAGGGACUCUGGAACAGAAUGCAAGACACACAGAAAACAGUAAGCAAAGCUACUAAUUUGAGAGAAAAUGAGGCGUAUAGGAAGCUAGGAAAAGUUUAGGAGUGUUCUGGGAGUGAGAAAAAAUUUUUAGAGAUUUUUGGCGAAAAUUUUUUUGGAAAUUUCUGGGAAAUUUCCAGAAUCCGGCAAAAAUUCCGACGAAAUUUGAAUUUUUCGACAAAAAUUCCGGCGAACAUUGAAGUUUCCGGUGACCUAUCCAGUUUCCGGCAAAGAAUCCCAGAAACCGGCGAUCUUCCGGCCAACUUCCGGCGAAAUUUCCAGAUUCCGGUGACAUUUUCCAGAAUCCGACAUCAGUGUUCUUCGAUUUUUAGAGAGAAGGGAGAGAAAAAGGGAAGAAGAGAGAGAGAGAGAGAGGAGCGUUCUGCCGAAAAAAUGAAGGGGAUUGCCUUUUAUACCCUCCCAAAACGACGUCGUUUUGGGCUUUAAGUUAACCAGGGGAUCCGCGCGUUUUGCCGAACCCGACCCGACCCGGGCGUCGACCCGCUUUCUGACCCGCGCGUGCCAGCCCCUUCGAGCCGAGCCGAGCCGAGCCAAGCCGCCAAGCCGCUCCCCCGAGCCGUUUCUCUUCCUUGAGCCGAGCCGAGCCGAGCCGCGAUCCGAGCCGCUCCAGGUUUUUUUUUUUUUUUUCUUUGUUUAAUUUGUUAUUUUAUUUUUAUUUAUAGAUUAGGUUUAUGUAAUAUUCUUUUAUUUAUUUUUUAUUUUCUUUAAAUAAAAAUAAAAAAUUCUAAAAAAAAAUAUUUUUAGGAAAAGUUGAAAGUAUCAAUUGUCUUUAGAAAUAAAUUUCCAAAAAAUAUUUUUGGUGGAAGAAGUGAAAGUAUCAAUUUUCCUCAGAAAUAAAUUUCAAAAAAAAAUAUUUUAGAGAAAAGUGAAAGUAUCAAUUUUUCUUGAAAAUCAAAUUUCAAAAAAAUAUUUUUGGGGAAAAGUUGAAAGUAUCAAUUUUCCUUGAAAAUCGAAAUUUCCAAAAAAUAUUUUUGGGGAAAAGUUGAAAGUUAUCAAUUUUCCCUACAAAAAAAAAUAUUCUUUCCUUCCUUUCUAUCUUAAUUUUGAUUUUGUUUUUUUCUGUUAAAUAAUCCGACGACAGAGCCUCUGCAAGUGAAAUAUUAGUUUUUCUUGCAUACUCUUGAGGUGAGGGAAUUUUCUCAAUUUUCUGCUAAAAGUAUUAGAGUCAAUUGAGAAUAAUUUUCAAUAAUUAACUACUUGGUAAAAUUUUAAGGCUUUUGGAUAACACAAAUUCAAGCUGGUACCAUCUUUUGAUGGGCGUUGUGAGGGUACUAUAACCUUCCUCACACGUAAUCGAACUCCCGAACCCUGUUCUGGUUAGUAGACCUGAACCUAUUCUUUUAGGGGCCCUUAAACUUAGGUGUUCCCUUGAAGGACAGAUUCCAUAGGUGGCCAAUCGCACAUAGAUAAAAAAGAUUGGUGGCGACUCCCUAAAAGUCAAUGUCUAGUGAUAGAUCCCCGGAUCUAGACGUUAUGACAGCAGUAGUAAUAAAACUAUAAAUAAAUAAAAGGGACAAAAUUACAUUUAAGUUAAAACGAGACCAGAAAAAAUGGGUGUCUACAACAUCAAAAGUGAAAAAUCUUUUAAUCAAGCUAGCCUGCCAACUUUUAAUUGAAAAUAUAUGUAUUUGGUGAGUUUAUGUUGGUAAUAUUAAAAAUAAUUUUCACACAAAUUAAUUGAUCAAUGACAUAUAUAGUUUCAACAAAUUUCUUUCGUGAUUUUAUAUUUAUUUAUUAGUUAUAUUUUGGUAUUUAUUAAUUAAGUCUUUAAUUAAAAGCUUUUUAUUUUUUGAAAUUCUUAAUUUAUUUUUGAACUUUAUUUUUAUAUAUAAUUAUACUUACUUGAUUAAAGAAUAUAUUAUGUACAAAUUGUUUUAAAUUCACAAUCUCUUAAAAUCAAUUUUAAGAUCAUAUCAAUUGAUUUGAAAUCACAAAAAAAAAAAAAUUUUUUUCUUUACAAAAUAUGCACUAAUUUUUUUUCUUUCAAUUUUAGUUAUGUAAUCAUUGAAAUGCAAUGAUUGGUUAGAAUUGGUCAUAUAUAUAUAUAUGUAUAUAUAUGAAAUUAAUUUUCGUCAACUGUCUAUUUUGAAUAGAGAUGGUAAUAGAUAGGGUAUGAGAUAAUAAAAAUUUUUUAUUCUCAUAUUCGAAUUUUUAUAUUUUAUUUAUUUCAGUAUUUAUAUCUAACGGAUAUUUUAAAUUUAUCUCCAUUUUCAUCCUUACAAAUAUUUUUUGAAUAUGAAUAAUUUUUGUAUCUAUAAUUUUUUUUAAAAUGUAAAAAUAAAAAAUAUAUUUUUAGCUUUUUUUAUUUUAGCUUACAAAUUUGAAUAAUUUUUAAAUAAAUAUUUAUUAAUAUAUUUUUACAAUAAGAAUAUAGUAGUUUUGAUUAAUCAAAAUAAUAAUUCAUAUUAUUUAAUAAAAAAUCUAUUUGCUAAAUAUAUAUAUAUAUAUAUAUAAGAUACAAGUACAAGUACGAGAUGGAUGCAAUAUUACUCAUCUUUGUUCCCAUAUUUGAUAAAAUUUCUAAAAUCAUAUCCAACCUUACGUGAAUAAAAAGUUAAAAUUUUUAUCGAAUAUGAAUAACAUUAAUAUCUCUAAUUUUGAAUAUUUUAAUAUUGGCAAGUCAUAUAUGGAAACUAAUCUAGUACUAGUAAGGACUAAGGAAUGAGUGAAGAUAAAUAUAUAUAUAUAUAUAUAUAUAUUGAAGCUAUAAUAAAUUGAAUAAUUUAUUAUUACAUCAUAAUCAACUUACAUCAUUGAAUAAUCUACUAACAAAUUAAAACAUAAUUAAACAAUCAAACUAACACCUAAUGAAAUUUGAAUGUAGAAUCUCUUAGUUUUAGGACUUUAUCCUUAUGUUAAGCCAAAUCCUUAUUGACAUUAUAUAUAUAUAUAUGUAUGUAUGUAUGUAUAUAAGGUAAGUCAACUUACAUCAGUAUAAAAUUUUUUAGUUUUAUAUAUUUUUUAUAAUUGAUUUUAAUAAAUUCGAGAAACGAGAGAGACAAAUAAAAAAAUAGUUUAAUAUCAUCCUUUAGAUGUAUUAAAAUGGUUAAAAAAUAUAAAAUUAAAUUUUAUAUUAGUGUAAGUUGAUCCUUCCACACACACAAAUACACACACAUAUAUAUAUAUGAAGAGAUCAAUUUACAUAAAAAAAUUUUAUAUUUUUUUAAUUAUUAAUUUUAAUAAAUUCAAAAAAUAAGAUUAUUUUAUUUUUUCUGUUUUUACUUAUUUUUUAUUUUUUAAAUUUAUUAAAAUCAAUAAUUAAAAAUUUGUAAAACUUUUUAAUUUUAUACUAUUGAAAUAUAUAUAUAUAUAUAUAUAUAUAUACACGUACGCGUUUGUUCGCACCUAAAUUACUAACGUACUUUGUUGUCCUUUUCAACAUUCUCAACCAACCAACGAUAUCGCUUUCUUUUCAAGAGACUAUGAUCACAAAGUGAUAAUGAAAGCAAAGCUUUGGAAACCCAUUUCUUUCCCUUCAUCCUUCCCCCAAAUGAUUAGCUCCUUUGCCUGCCUCUCAAUUUUUUGUUGUCUCCAUAGAAAAGAUAACAAUAUUUCUUCUCGCCAGCUAGUCCUCCUAGCUAGCUCUACUAGUGUAACUUCUAAUUGCACCAACUAGGGCAUGGUAAUUUCGUGCUACUGGUCUCCCAAUGACCACUUGUAGCAACAAGAAAAUUGGGAUUCAUGGGCAAUUUUCCCUUUUUCCAAUGCAUGCAAAUUUCAACAAAGUCAUGAUAUUGUACGCUUCUUUCCUCCCUGGGGUUGUUCUAGUGGGAUGUAUCUUUUCACAUAAUUGCCUUGGUUAACUUAAAUCUUAGGCUAUUAAAUUGUUUCAAACCCUUCUAUUAAGGUGUGAAAUUUCAAGAUUCCAUGGUCCCUCUUGAGUCCAUCCAUGUACCCAAUCCACUAGCUUUUCAGGUCAAAAGUUGCAAUUAGAGUGCCUUGAGAAGAAAAAGCCUUCCAUGUCUGCUGAAAAAGCUAAGGAGAUAAACCUGAUUAAAGUUUCCUAUCCUCAAUUGACAGCAAAAUUUAUGAUUUGACACCAAUGAAACUCUAAGUAACAUCUUUGUUAUAUUUUUGAGUUUGGUCCACACGUUUUUACUUCUUACUUAAUUUCGAUUCCAAUUUAAUUACCCUUUAAUUGGUUGUACCGAUUAGAUGACUAUAUAUGACACAAGCCGACGCUCCACAAGAUUAUUUGGAUAUGACAAUUCAUGGUUUAAGCUGAAUUUGUGUUAGAAUCACUUUGAAACGGACUAAAACGGCUGACCUGUGGUUCUUCCAACCUACAUAAUAAUAAUAAUAAUAAUAAUAAUAAAAGGAAUUAAGGAUGGUUGCUUCCAAAGUAAAUUUGUCUCGUUUUUUCAAUUAUAAUUAACUGCAUUAACAAGUGAUAAUUAUUAUUAUUUCAAUUAAUCUUUUAUCUACCGACUCUUUGGUACUUAAAAGUAGUACUAGUCACCUAUCAAUGCAUGUUGUGCUCUUCAUUAUAGUUUUUUUUUUAACGUCAAUCUCAUGGUAAAGUUUAAUUGAAUUACUUUUUUUUUUUGCAAGGCGUUAGGUAAGGAAAAUGUUCUUGUUUCGGAAUUUUUUUGGAACUGGGUUUGUUUAUUAUUAAUCGGUCUAUCUUGUUUCAGUUAAAGGUUGCCGACAACAGACAUUAGAAUCUUAUUGUUGUUAUCAUGUUUCUCUUUUUCAAGAUUUGGCUGAAAUUAACUUUCCUUGAAUGCAAAAAUAAUUUUCAAAGUCUACAACAUGAAAUUUUUAUUUUGAAAACUUGAAUCCAUCGUGAUGGCUUGUGACGCAAGAAUAAUAUUGAUCAUUUUCUGGCCAUACUUCAGAGGUAAAUUGAAAAGGAUGUGCAAGAUAUCUUAGAAGGAGCCCCUAAAAUUCUAAGGAAAAACCUGGUUUUCUAUGUUAUGUUUUUCAUUUUCUCCAACGCUAUUUAUCUAUUGAAUCACAUGUUGUAAUGCGCUUACAUUCUCCUUCUAUUAUUUUCGGAAAAUAUUAGAGAUUUAAAUUCGUUUUGAGUUUGCUAUUGACAUAUAUUCACACAAGGCUUUUGCCUAAUAGCUGAUUUUAUGACAUUAUUAUUAGCUAUUGGUAGCAGUUAUGUGAAUGGAUCCUGGAGUCCGUCUCAGCCCUGAACAAUGAUUAAAAUUUAAAAGUAAUGUGGAUUUGCAAUGUUGACAAUCUUGUGUUAGAAAAGCUAUAAUUAAGAGCAGGCUUACCCCUGUGGAAGAUGAAGGGAGGUCCAUUGGAUUUGGGGCCAUGCCAGCUGGAGGAACAAGGAAUAGCCGAGUCCGAACUCCCAAUGGCAGUGGCGCACCAAUUAGCUUACAUCUUGGAUUCUUGGUCUAUCUAUGGUCCAAUUUUGGACAAACAUCUGGACCAAGUUGCCAACAAUUCACAAUCACUUGCAGCAAGCCACCAAUUUUCUAUAGGAAUAAAUAAUAAUGCAAUAUUUGGCUCUCGAAAUUAACAGAUACUCUGGAUCCAGAGAGGUUUCUCUAAAAACGUAGCAUCCAAUUUUUUUGAAUCUAAGUUAAAUAAAGGCCAACUUGUUGCUUUUUUUUAUAACAGCAUUUACCAUUUUGAAUUGCAUUUAAAAAAAAGAAAAAGAAAAAAAAAGCAAGGCUUUUGGAGAAAAGAAAAUGAUGCAUUAUUCUUUGUUUGGACACUUAAAAGUAAAGUAGGGAAAGGAAAUUAAGAUAUUAUUAAACUUUUUGUUUGAUUUAGAUGUGAAAAAAAAAUGAUACAUUAUAAUAAACUAUUUUUCAUUACACUGUGUAAAGUUCGUAUGUAGUUUUAUUUGAAAAUUGUAAAACAUAAUAAGGGCACAAUAAUAUUUUUUUUUUUAAAAUUAUUUUUUCUUUCCUUUUCCUUUAAUUUGGAAAUUAAAAAAUGAGGAUUUUUUUUUUUUAAAAAAAAGAGUGUUGAACCUCCCUUUCCUUUCUUUUAAUUAAAUUGCAAUCCAAAGUAAUAAUGCAAAAUUUUUCAUUAUCCUUUCCCUUUCCACCUCUCUCUCCUCAGUUCAAACAUACUCUUAACGACUAUUAAUUUUAAGUUUCUCAGAAGAUAUUAGUAGUACAAAGUAUAUACCAAGAAAAAAGGUUGUACAAGUUAAUAAAUCGUAAAGGCAACAACUAUUUUUUAUUGAAAUAAAUGAAUUACUAAAAUUAAAGAGAACAGAAAAAUGAAGGACAUAAAAGGGUAAUACAAUAAUUUAAAAUGCAAUUAAAAAAAAGAAAAACAUUGUAAGAUUGGUAUUAAAUUUAUAGAAAUUUAUAAAUAUUACUAAUGAUUAAACAAUUGGUUAAAAUAUUGAAAAAACCCAUGUUCUUUCAUAUUUUUUUUAAAGUAAGUCUUGUGUUUUGAUUGUACCCAAAUAAAUAUCUAAACUUUUAUUUAUAUUCGUGCAAGCUUUUAUCUUUGGUGAAAAAAUAAUUAUCUUUAAUCUGCGUGUCAUCUGACUUUUAAAAAUAAAAAUAAAAAUUAAUAUUCUUUUGAAAUUUCGGAGGAUAGUUUUUGAGUUUUUUAGUCAUUUAUAGUGAUUUUUUUUUUUUUUUGUGUUUUUUGGUUAUCUAUAGUGUUUUUUUUUUUUUUUUUUUUUAGAUUUCCAUGGUUUGGAUUUUUGGGAAAGAUUUUUGGAAUUUGGAAAAUUUCAGCCAUUGACUACCAUAAAAGAUGAUGAAAGACUUUUUUCUAGUAGCUGGGAGGAGAUGCAGCCUUCGUAGUACCAAACUGAAUCAUAACCCAGAAAUUGAAAAUGACGUACAAAAGACCGGAAGGAGUUUAUUUGAAAACAGAGUGACGCUUACAAGUUACAACCAAAUAGUGCAGCACAAGGACACCAACGAAAGGCAGAACAGAAAGUAACGGAUUCUUAAAUUACUCCCUAACUUUUCAAUCCACUAUGUAUAUCAUCCGACUACUACACAAGCAAACCUCAACCAGAAAGCGGCCUAAAAUAGACCUAAGAAUAACCCAAAGGGCCUUCUAAAUCCAGGGCUUACUUCUUUCCACCUUCUUGGGUCUUUACCAACUUUAUCAUACUCAUGCAUCAUUCUUCCUCCUUCUAGGCUCCUAUUCUGGAUCUUCGGGCCCAAAUCUCUGGUCCUCUGGCCCAAAUAUCCUGAUGUCUCCUGCCAGCGCCGCUUUGCUUGCUGUGGCUGCUGAGACAUUGGCGUCUCAUUCCACGAAUAUAAUUCACAAUCCACGAGAGCGAUGAAAGUCCAGUGACCCAAUAGCUCCAGAGAUCAAGAACCCAGCAAUGGAACCUGCAAUGACGAGAGCAGUAGGGACAAAAACGGGGCUGAAAACCAGGAAAAUUGGCGUGGCGAUAGCAAGACCUACUAGGGUUCCGAUAAGGCUCAAACUAGCAAGCAAGAGAAGGGUGCCGGCGUGCAGCCAACAGGAAGAAGGGUGACAACUGCAAGAACUUUUGACGUUGAGGAACCGUUUUCUUGAAAGAAAUUCUUCGAGUUAUCAGUUUGGUUGAUGCUCAGCCAUGGCUUCAGAGGUUGCUUUUAUUUUAUGGAUUGCACUGAAAAGACAAUAAGAAGGGACACCUGAAAGGAGAGGGGGUGGAGGGUGGAUGGAGUCGCGAAUUUACAGCAUAUUUGGGAUGAAGGAAAGGGAGAGAGAGGGAAAAGAAUUAGUAAGUAAAAUUAAAAGAAAAAUGAAAAAUUUUUUAUAUGAAUAAAAAAAAGAAGGUAUAUUUAGCCUCACUUGAUUUUUUUUUUAAUUUUUAAUUAUUUCAAAUUGCAAAAAAAAAAAAAAGAAGAAGAAAAAGGAAAGAAAUAAAAUUUUAAAAUAUAAAAUAAUUAUUAUAUUUUAUUAGUUUUAAAUUAAAAAUGUAUAAUUUUGAAUUUAAAAUUAGAUUAAGAAUAUAAAUAUUAUUUAUUAAUAAAUUUAUUAUUUAUUAUUUAUUUAUUUUAUGAAUUUCAUAAAUUUUAUUGAUAAUUAUUUAUAAAAAAAAUAAAAAAAUUGAAAAUAUAAAAUAUGUUAAUAUAAACAUAUAAUAUUAUAAUAAAAAUAAAGAUUAUCAAAUGUUAUAAUCGAAUAAAAAAUAAAAAAUUAUUUUUUAUUAUUUAUUUAAAUAAUAGUUAUUAAAAUUUUUUAUUUUUAUUUAUUUUAACGAUUCAAAUAAAAUAUAUAAUUUUUUAUUUUUUAAAUUUUAUUUAUUUAUUUAUUUACAAACGAUUAUCCAAACACAGGAGAAACAAAGUGGCUGACGCGUAGAAUUUGGUGACACUUGUUCGAUAGAUGGUGUAAACUGGUCUGCAUAUAAUUAUGUCUUUUUUUAAGUGUCUUUUGUCAGACUGUUGUGACGACAUCUAGUGUUACCCGAGAAAAUAAUAUCUAUAACAAUAAAUAAGAGCAAUCCUCAUUUUAUCUUGAUUGUAUAAUUCAUCAAGGUAAAGAUGUUUCGAGAAUACAAAACUUUUUCUUCGUUUGAGAACAUCCUCGUCUUCAUAAAAUAUACCUUUUUGAAAUCGGACACCUCAUCAUUUUAGAAAUCUGACAUCUCCAUAAAAAACAAACUCUCUUUAGAAAUCUAACAUCUCCUCUCUUCUAAUUUACACACCGAAAACAAAAAUGACAAAAACAAACAAAGGAGAGAUUGGCACUUCUAGACGUAGCUUCGGAGGAGGCGGUGGUAGGAUUGACCAUGGCUCUAAAGGCAGGCGCCGUGGUGAAAAAAUGGAGAAGAGAAAUGGCUACCAGUAACAAAGCUCGAACAUUUGGUGAAACCUGACAAAAAUUACUUCCCUGGACCAAAUCUGAAAACUUGGAAGACGAAGAGAGGGGAAGUCGUACAUAAUAAAACUAAAAGCUUCUAGAGUUGUGGAUAAAGAAGCUUUCCAUUUGGUGAAUCUUUCCCCGAUCGGCACCAAGUGCGUCUCCAAAAUCCAGAACAACAUCGUCGUUUUGGCUGACUAUGUCGUUGUUUUCGAGGAUCACGGUCACAUCCCUACCAUUUCUUUCAAGGUUUAAUUCUGCUUUUCCCCUUUUCUUCUUCUAAGUUUUCAUAUUUGGAUAUGUUAGAGCAAGAUUAUUAAGAUUUUCUUUCAAAUGAUGAAUAAUAAUCAAUACAUCUAAAACUAAAGGGCGCAAGGAUUGAUUUUUAUGUUCAUACUUUAAAUCAGAUAGAUUUGUUAUUGUUUUACUUGAAAUAGUUGAUUUUCAAUUCUGACGUAGAAUUAUUUUGAUUUAAAGGAAACUUUACUUCCUCGAGCAUAACUGACUUGCUGCAAACUCAUCCCUACAUAAGUUCUAACAUCCCAUUGACAGAAUGUCAAUUCGUGAGAAUGCAAAUUGACCAAGGUUUGCCAUAUGGGAACAAUCUUCAUCAUUGGGAGAAUGCAACGCGUGGUCAUUUACAUUCACAACUCAGUAGGCUGGUAAUUACCUAGCAUGUUUCCAGUCGACGAACCAUACUCAUGGAGGUGUAGAAAAAAAUCCAAUAGAUUAUUUCAUUCACGCAAUAUACAUAAGAUAUAAACAUAUCUUUUUUUUUCUUUGCACAAGAUAUACACCAUAUACACAAGAUAUACAAAAAUACAAAAGAUAUAAACACAAGAUAUAAAUUAUUGUGAUUAUCACACUUUUUUUUUUUUUUUGCUCUGUUACGUGAUUGUUCCUCUUUAAUAUAGUGCGAAGUUAUUUCUCUUUAAUGCAAAUUUUAAAUUAAUUUAAUUUAUGGUUUAGAUUCUUCAGCUGAUUUGAAGCCUUUCUUUACCUAACGUUAUCUUCUAAUUGAUGUUACUUGGCAGUUGAGAUUUUAUAGAUAUUGUGAUAUUUUGACAAUAUUGGAAUUAUGCUUUUGGACAUCAAGGUACUUCAUUUUUUCUGAUAGAACACUGCUGUGUUUGUAUUUUCGUGUAUAAUUUGAUGUUGUGCUUUAUAUUCAAAGGGCAAAAGUCAUUAUGGAUAAAAUAAGGUACUUCAAACUUGCAGACCUCUGAUCAUCCAAAAAAGUUUUGAAGAUUUUAAGGAAACUAUGUAACUUCCUCCCUAUAGUUACUAGAUUACAGUGGCUAUUUCCAUAAAAUAAUAGUUUCAUCUGCUUCAUGUCUAAUUCAAAUGCCUUUGGGAUUAGAUUAAAAACAUUUUUAUUUGAUUAGAAGGGUUUUAGAAAGUUAUUGUGUCAUAAGAAUUUUUCGUUUGGGGGACUCAAUCAUUAUUAGAUUUUGUGAAAAUUUAUGAAAUCGUCACCAAUAUUUUAUUUGUAGAGUGUAAUUGAUCACCCAAAAAUAUCAUUUUUUAAUACAUAUCUUAAAAUUAAUUAAGAUUUACUAAAAAACAUUUUGGUCUGCGAAAUCAAUGUAGGGUUUGAGAGAACAGUUACAAGUGAAGAAGGUAUUAGCAUAUUCACAUCUCCUGUUCGAAGAACGAUACCAAUUAAACAUGUGUAAUCUUUUAACCUUGACAAUGUGGUCUUUUUUUAAUUUAAAUUUAAUUUCAUAAAAUUUAUUUAUAAAAAAUAUUUUUUGUUGUGAAAUCAAUAUUAUUAUUACUUCGUAUUCUAUAAAUUGUCCAACACUUUAGAGGAAUUUAUAGAAAAUUUUUAUUUAGAAAAUAUUUUAGGAAAAUUGACCAUUCCAAAAAUUUUUUAAAUUUCAUCAUAGAAUAUUUUAUUUAUUUAUUUAUUAAAAAUGAUUUUAAGAACAUCUCAACUCUUUGGCGAAAUAUAAAAUUUAUUAAACAAAUUUUAAGAUUAUCCCGACUCUUUAGUAAAAUCUUAAAAAUUUUAAUCAAAUUUUAAGACUAUCUCAACUUUCUAAUGAGAUCCUAAAUAAAAUUAUUUUUUAUUGAUGAUAAUUAAGAGAUUCAAUUAAACAUUUGAUUAAUUUUUAUUGUGAUUAUUUUAAUUUUUUUAUUUACAAUUUAUUAUUUAAAUAAAUAUUUAUUUAGUAAAAAAAUAAUUUUAAGAUCAUAUGACUCACUGGCAAAAUCUAUAAAUAUUUACUUGAUUAAUUAAGGAAAAUUGAACCCUUUUAAUUUUAUUUAAAAAUUACAUUUUUAGAAUCUUUAUUCAAACUAUCAAUUAUUAUUAUUAUUAUUUAAAUAAACUUUUAUUUUAGUAAAAAUAAUUUUAGAUUAUAUCAAUUCUAUGGUGAAAUCCAAAAAGUUAUUUUUAUUUGCAAUAAUUAAAGAAAACCCAACUCUUUCACUCUUCUUUAAAAAAUUAACAUUUUGGUAAAAUUUAAAUAAUAUUUUACUUGUAACAAAAUUUUAAUUUUUCUUAAAUAGAUAUUUUUUAAGGACUUUUUUAAAGAUUUAUACAUAUUAUUUUAUAUUAGGUCCAUAUUUUAUUUUAAUUCUAUUUUUUAAUUUUUUAUUUCAAAAAAAUGAAUAUUAAUAAUAACAUAAAAUAACAAUAAUAUCAUUAAAAAAAAAACAUAAUAAAAUGUAAUAAACAUUAACACAAAAUAAAUAAAAUAAGAAUCAAAAUAAAAAAUAAAAAGAAAAGGAAAAUCUGCCAAUUGGGCGAGUCACCUGGCGGUCGUGCGCAGGUCAACAGGUUGAUUCGUGGGUCAAAGGCUCCCAAAAUGACAUCAUUUUGUGACGCCUAUAAAAGGCCUAUUUCUGUUUUUUUUUUCUCCUUUCUCUUUAAAACCUAAAGCCUUUAUCUUUAGAAAAUACCUUUCCGUCGAUCGUCAUGCAAUUUUAGUUUUCGGCCAGUUGCCACUGUGCUUUCACCAAAAACUUCAAUUGAUAUUGAAAAAUUCAAAACACAAGCCAAUUUUGGUGGGUUUCAGUUCCCAGUGGUUGAAAACUUCAACACUUCUUUGAAAAAUUUAAAUUUUCCCAGAUUUCAACGAACCAAUAAAAAUUUAAAAAAAAAUCUCAAAAAAUUUAGAUUACUCCUUUUUUAUUUUCCAAACACUAUUUAAAAAUCAUAUUUUUAUAGAAAAACUCAAACCUAUAGAUCAAGAAUUUCAUUUUCAUGAUUUUUUUAUUUUUUUAUGUUUGCUGCACGUUCCUCUUAUGAGGAUAUGAUGUUUUAUGUUUUUCUUUGUGUUUGUGCGUGCCUUCUGUGUAGUUUUUUUUUUUUUGUUGCAGAGAUUGGGUCUAUUUAUAGAGCUGUUGAAGAUCAAAUCCUAGAUUGUCAGAGACUUUUGUGGAUUCUUUAUGGAAAAAUAAAGAUUUGUCUAGUGACUUUUGGUUGUUCGGAUUUUAUGCUACCAAGUUAGGUAAUGCAGAUAAAUUUUUAGUGCAUUAAAUGCACUUUGGUUUUGUGCCAGAAGAUGAAGAAAAGAUGUCAAAAAAUAAAAGAAAAAAAAUGAAAAAGGUGUCAGAAGAAAUGAAAAUAUAAUAAUAAUAAUAAAUAAUAAUAAUAAUAAUAAUAAUAAUAUAUUAUUAUAUUACUAUUAUAUGGAAAUGAGAAGAAAUAAAAAAUAUUGUCUACAAUUGUCUCUAUUUGUAUAUUGUGAGAAUCAUAAAUAGGGUAAAGAUGAAAAGACAACAAUUUUUUCAGGAUGAUGUUAUAAAUACGAACACCUUUUUCUCUUUUUUUUUUUGUUUUUUGUUUUUGAAAUUUAGAAGGCUUUUCAACGCAGAGGCUUGACAACUUUUGAAAAUUUAAAAGCUCCUAUAAGCUAAGUAGAGUUUAUGAAAUUUUAAAUUCAAAAGGCUCAUCUGAUUAAAGGUUAUAAAAUUUUCAAAGAAAGCUCUUUUGACCUGAGGUAAUGAAACUUUAAAUGGCUUUUUUGACCAUAGGCUAUGAAACUUUAAAUUUAAAAGGCUCAUCUGACUAGAGGCAAUGAAACUUUAAAAUUAAAAUUUUGAUAAGACUUAUAGAUAAUGUCCUAGUCUUACAAAUCAUUCCUAACUUUGAUGGAGUCCUCUAACCAGAGGCUAUGAAACUUUAAAUGGCUCAUUUGGCCAGAGGCUAUGACACUUUAAAGAAAGCUUCUCUAACCACAGGCAAUGAAACUUUAAAUGGCUCCUCUGAUUAGAGGCUAUGAGACUUUAAAUUUAAAAAGUUUCUCUGACCAGAGGUAAUGAAACUUUAAAUUUAAAGGUCUGAGAGCAUUUAUAGAUUAUGCCAUUUAGUCUUACAAAUCAUGCCUAAUUUUGAUGGAGUCUUCUGACCAGAGGCUAUAAAACUUUAAAUGGCUCAUCUGACAAAGGCUAUGACACUUUAAAGAAAGCUUCUCUGACCAGAGACAAUGAAACUUUAAAUUUAAAAGUCCGAGAGGACUUAUAGAUUAUGCCAUUUGGUCUUAGAAAUCAUGUCCAAUUUUGAUGGAAUCUUCUGACUAGAAGCUCUUAAAAUUAAAAAGGUAUUCUGACUAGAUGCUAUGAAACUUUAAAUGGCUCUUCUAACUAGAGACUAUGACACUUUAAAGAAAGCUCCUUUGACUAUAGGUAAUGAAACUUUAAAUAGCUCUUUUGACCAAAGGCAUUGAAACUUUAAAUUUAAAAAUUUGAGAAGCAAUGGUAUUUGAAAGAUUCCUUUAAAUAGAGGGUUUAUAUCUUUUUCACUUUUAACUUUUUUUUUUUGUUGAUCUUGGAUUGUUCAAGACCCAUAUAUCGUUGUGUCACAUGCGUGCAUAAAUGAUAUUUUCAUGCUUUUAUAAUGUCAUGCAGUGAAUUAAGAAUAUGAUGCAAAUGCACUUAUGAUGCAAAUGAGAAGAUCAUCUUCUUUUUUUGUAAUUUUUAUCAUUUUUAAUGCUCAAAAUUUUUCAUUGUCUUUUUCCAUUUCCUUUUCCAAAUCCCAUGUAUUUUAGCCAUUGAUUAGGUUCAGAUAAAAAGGUUUCUCUCUUCAUUUUUCAUAUUCAAUGUUUACCACUUUUAUAACUUAUAGGCCUAUUUCCUUAUCCACCUUUGUUCCUUACUAUUUUUCUUAUCAUUUUAAAUUUCUUUCAAAAUAAUGUGUGUGCCUUUCAUGAUCAUCGUCACUCACUUAUCAUCUUUUGAAUUUUAUGACAAUACAUUGCAAAUUUUUCUUUUCAAUGAGAUAGACAAAGAAAGGAUAAAUAAAGGGGUAUUUUAUUUCAAUAAAAAAGAGAAGUGUUUCAUGCAUUAUAUAAAAGCAUAUAACAAGGAAAACAAAUAAUCACAUAACGAACAUUCAAAUCAUCAUGAACUAAUUCAUCUUGGAUUCUUUUAUGAAAACUCUUAAUUGAUAUCCCUAGACAUUUUGAAAAUGUAAUAGACUAAGCUAGCCUAAAACCAAUGAGAUCUUUUGGCAUAUAUUGAGAAUUGCCUCAUUUCAUUCAAUGCUUCUUUAUCUAAGUUGCCAUUUUUUAUUUUUAACUUAAAUAUCUUUUCAGUUCAUUUUAUUUUUUCAUCUUUUUUUUCUUGUUUAAGCAUAGUACUUCUUUUCUUUAUCGACAUUGACUAGAUUUGGUAGAUCAUCCUUAUCCAUUCUUGCUAAGAUCAGUAUUUUAUCAGAUAAGGUUUUUUUCACCACAUAUAGACUUUCUCAAUCAGGUGUCCAAUUUCUCAAAGGAUCCUAUUGGUUAGGAAGAAUCUUUUUCAAUAUUAAUUUUCCUUUUUGAAAUUUUCAAAGGUGAACUUUUUUGUCAUGAGCUAGCAUCAUUCUUUUUUGAUACAGUUGACCAUGGCAAAGUAUAGCUAGUAUCUUUUCUUUAAUGAGAUUCAAUUGUUCAUACCGAGUAUGAACCCAUUUAGUUUUUUUCAAAUCAACUUCCAUGAGAAUGCAUAAAAAAGGAAUUUCAAUUUCAAUAAGGCAACACUUCUUCCAUCCCAUAAACUAAUAAAAAUGGUGUAACUCCUAUAGAUGUGUGAAUUGAAAUUUGAUAAGUAUGUAAAUGAUAGCUUUUCAUGCCAAUCUUUAUAUAAAUCUAUCAUCUUUUCAAUAAUUCUCUUUAUGUUCCUAUUAGUUGUUUCAUCUGUCCCAUUCAUCUUUGGACGAUAAGGUAAUGACUUGUGGUGUUGAAUUUUGAACUAGGCACAAACCUUUCUCAUUAUUUUGUUAUUCAAAUUAAGAGCAUUAUCCAAAAUGAUCCUUUUUGAAAGUUUAUAUCGACAUAUAAUCUCUUUUUUUGAUGAAAAUACAAACCACCAUUCUCGUCACAUUAGCAUAUGAAGCUGCUUCUACCCACUUUGUGAAGUAGUUAAUUACCAUUAAAAUGAAUCGAUGUCUAUUUGAAGCUUUUAGCAUAAUAAGCCCUAUCAUGUCCAUUCUUCACAUAGAGAAAAGCUAAGGUAUUGACAUAACAUGCAAGAAUGUUGGAGGAACUUGCAUCUUGUCGUAUAAAUUUGACAUUUAUGAUAUUUUUUAGCAUAAUCGAUGUAAUCUUUUUUCAUUAUCAACUAAUAGUAUCCUAUUAUCAUGAUUUGCUUAGUUAUCAUAUGGUCAUUUGCAUGAGUUCCACAAACACUUUUGUGAAUUUCUUUAAGCAACUUUUUGGCCUCAGCAGCAUUCACACAUCUCAAUAGUGUUUGAUUUUGACUUUUUUUAUAUAAAAUUUUUUCAUCUAAAAAGAAUCGAUUGCCAAUCUUUUCAAAGUUCUUUUAUCAUUAUCUUAUAUAUGCUCUAGAUAUUAUUGAUACUUGACAUAUUAUAAUAUGUCAGAAUACCAUGGUUUUCCAUUAACUUCUUCUUCAACAUUUGAAUAGUGAACUGGUUUCUCUUGUAAGCUCAACUUGAUGGGUUGGACUUUAGCAUUUUCAUUUAGCUUGAACAUUACUGCCAAUGUAGCCAAAGUAUCAACCAUCUGAUUUUUUUCUCGGGGUAAAUGAUAAAAUCAAAUAUUCUUAAAUUUUUUGAUCAAUUUUGAUUUGUACUUUUAAUAUAGAACCAACUUCGAAUAUUUGGUUUCUCAUUCUUCUCGCAAUUGGUAUAUGAUCAGGGUAAAGUCUCUAUAAAAUUUUAAUGUAUGGGCCUUCCUUUAAAAAAUAACUUAAAGACCUAUAACACAUACUUCAUAUUUUGUCAUAUUAUUGGUGUAAUCAAAGCUUAAUUUUACAGUGGUUAGGUAGUAAUCUCCUUUUGGAGAUAUCAAAACUACUUCUAUACCAUACCCCAAAGCAUUCAAUAUGCCAUCAAAAUACAUCUUCCAUGUAUCAUCAUUAGGCUCUUCUUCAUUUAUAUGUAAUAUAGACAUUAAGUUUUCAUUUAGCUUGAACAUUACUGCCAAUGUAGCCAAAGCAUCAACCAUCUGAUUUUUUUUUUUGGGGUAAAUGAUAAAAUCAAAUAUUCUUAAAUUUUUUGAUCAAUUUUGAUAUGUACUUUUGAUAUAGAACCAACUUCGAAUCUUUGGUUUCUCAUUCUUCUCGCAAUUGGUAUAUGAUCAAGGUAGAGUCUCCAUAAAAUUUUAAUGUAUGGGCUUUCUUUUCAAAAGUAACUUGAAGACCCAUAACACAUACUUCAUAUUUUGUCAUAUUAUUGGUGUAAUCAAAGCUUAAUUUUACAAUGAUUAGGCAGUAAUAUCUUUUUAGAGAUAUCAAAACUACUCCUAUACCAUACCCCAAAGCAUUUAAUGUGCCAUCAAAAUACAUCUUCCAUGUAUCAUCAUUAGGCUCUUCUUCAUUUCUAUGUAAUAUAAACAUUAAGUUUUCAUCUAAAAAACUGAAUGUCAUAGACACAUAAUCUUUGUGAAUGCGUUUUGUAAAAAAUUUAGCAAUAAAACUUCUUUUAAUUAUCUUUUGGGAUACAUAUACGAUAUCAUAUUUAGAAAGUAGCACUUGCCAUCUUGCUAUUCUUCUCGAUAAUGAAGAUUUUUCAAAGAUGUACUUGAUUGGAUUUGACUUUGCAAUGAGUCAAGUGGUAUGAUACAACAUGUACUAUUUAAGCUAAAGAGUUGUCUAAGCUAGUGCAAAACACAUCUUUUCUAAUGGUGAAUAUUUGAACUCGUAAUCAGUGAACUUUUUGGUCAAGUAGUACAUGGCUUGUUUUUUCCUUCUUGUUUCAUCAUGUUACCUCAAAAUGUAUGUCAUUGAUUUUUCAUGCAUAGUUAAAUACAAAAUGAAAGGUUUUCUAGGGAUGGGCAACAUUAAUGCUAAUGGGUUUAAUAAGUACUAUUUUACUUUUUCAAAUGUCAUAUGACAUUCUUCAUCCCAUUCUUCUAACCCUAUUUUCGAAGAAUCUUGAACAUGGGGUCACAUUUGGCUAUAAGUUGGAAAAUGAAACAAGUAAUAUAGUUCAACCUUAUUAGAAAUCCCCUCACUUUUUUGUGUGUAUGUAAAGGUGGUAGCUCUUAGAUGGCACGUAUCUUAUCUGGAUCUAUUUCAAUUCCUCUUUUACUAAUGAUAAAUCUAAGCAAGUUUUCAGAGGUUGUGCCAAAAGUGAAUUUAUUUGGAUUGAGCUUGAGUUGAAACUUUGUUAAUCUUUUAAAUAACUUUAUGAGAUUAACCAUAUGAUUUUUUUCUUCAUGGGAUUUAGCAAUCAUAUCAUCCAUAUACCCCUUUAUUUUUUUGUACAUCAUAUCAUGGAAUAGAGUUAUCAUGACUUUUUGGUAAGUUACCCUAGCAUUUUUAAAAUCGAAAGGCAUCACUUUACAGUAAAAUGUUCCUCAUAAUGUCAUAAAAAUAGUCUUUUCCAUUUUUUUAUGCUAUCUUGAUUUGAUUACAGCCUAAAAACCUAUCCAUGAAUGAUAAUAAAAAAUGCCUAGUGGUAUUGUCCAUUAAGGUGUUAAUGUAGGGCAAUGGGAAGUUGUCUUUUGGAUUUGCUCUAUUCAGAUCCUGAUAAUCAACACACAUCCUCACUUUGCCAUCUUUUUUAGGUACUGAAGCUAUAUUCAUUAUCCAUUCAGGAUACUUGACCACUUCUAAGAAUACCACAUCAAAUUGUUUUUUCACUUUUUUUUUUUAUUUUUAACAACAUGUCGGGCUUCAUCCUCCUCAACUUUUGUUUAAUUAGUUUGCACUUGGAUUUUUGAGGUAGCUUAUGUACUACAAUUUCAGUAUGUAGCCCUAGCAUAUCUUGGUAUGACCAAGCAAAUACAUCUACAUAUUCAUAUAGUAAAUUUAUUAGCUCUUGCUAUAUUAGUGACAACAUUGAAGUAUCAAUCUUAACCUCUUUUUUAAUUUUUUUCAUUCUUCAAAUUCACAACUUCACUGGCUUUUUAAUAAGGCAUAAUUUUCUUUUCUUCUUGUUCCAUUAAUCUCAAUAGUUCCAAGGAUAUUGUAUGGUCUUUUACUUUUUUUUCAUCAUUAAGUUCACCAAUAUAAAAAGAAUUUUCAAAAUCAAAUCUUAGAAUAUUGUCAUGAUGAUCUUCACAUUCAUUAUUUGAGUACUUGAAAGUAAGUGAAAUGGAUGAAAUGUAGAGAAAUGUAUAGUAAUGUGAGGAAUUGAAAUGAAAAAGGCAAAAGAAAUGGACAAAUGCACUAUGUUUGUCAUUUAUUCAAUUAAAAAUAAAGAAACAGACACACAUAUGACAUUUAAUGCUUUUAACAAAAACAUUUAGAUUAGGUUCAACUUAUUACUCUGAAAAAAAUUUAAAAACAAUAAGAAGCUCCUUAACAUGCCAAUUUUUUAAUUUUACAUCAGGAGGAGUAGGAUACACCUAUGGACUUUCUAGAUCUUCGUUCAUCUUUUCUUUACCUACCAUCUGUAUUAAAAAUUUAGUAAAAAUAUCUUUAAAUGAUGGUAUAAACCCCUUCUCUAUAUGUUUUGCUACAUUUGGAUAGAUAUAGCCAGUUGAGAUGAAAGUCUUAUAAAAGGAAAAAAAAAAUACGAGCUUUCAUUUUCUACCUCUUGCCCUAGAAAAUGAGCCAAUUUUUUUCUCUUUUCUCUUUUAUGAAUUGUAUUCUUUUUUUUUUUAGUUGGCUUGUACCCUAGACUAAACCAAUCACCUUUUUUAGGUAUCAUCCAUGGUCAUUUCAUCCCUUGCAAGUCAGCUCACACUUGUUAUCCUUUUUUGCCACUUCAUUAAAGGCCAUCUUGAAAGCUCUGGAUAGACAUGGAAUAGGUACCUUUGAUCUUUCACCCACAUAAGUUGUAUUAAAAAUUCAAAGGAUUUGAAAUAACAUUUUGGGACUUCUUCAACUAUUUCAACAUAUAAUGCAGUAGAUGGUUUAGUCACCAGCAAAUCUUUUUCACUAGCAAUAAUGACCAUCUUUUCAUUAAUUAUGAAUUUUACCUUUUGCUACAAAAUGGAAGGGAUAGCUCUUGCCAUGUGAAUCCAUGGUUUUCCUAAAAGACAAAUAUAAAAAAGAGUGAUAUCCAUAACUUGAAAGACUAUAUCAAAAGUACACAAGCCAAUUUGAAUUAGUAGUUCGAUAUAUCCUAUAGUUUCAUGAUGAAUCCCAUCAAAAGCCCUCACUAUCAUGUAACUUGUCUUCAACGUAAGAUAUGUCGAGUAGUAAUUUAGAUAAUGUAGUCAUAGGCAUGACAUUUAAAGAAGAUUCAUUAUUAAUAAGCACUUUGGCCAAUAUGUGAUCCUUGUAUCUUGUGGAGAUAUGUAAAGCCUUGACAUCACCCCUACCACUAUGUAGAAUCUCGUCAUCGCUAAAUAAUAUAAAAUUCUCUACUGUAAUAUUUCUCCAUAUAUAUAUUAUGAGCUACAUGAACUUCGUUGAGUACUUUGGGUAAGGCAUUUCUAUAAGGCUCAAAAUUUAACAAUAAUGACAACCUAAAAAUUUGAGCUAGUAAACAAUUCAAUUCCCCUACCACAUUAUACUCACUGUGCUUGAUAAAUUUUAAGAAUUCACAAGCUUAAUUUUUCGUAAUCGGAUUCUUAUGUUCUCGGUUUAGGACUGGGGCUGAUGAGUUUUUUUAUCAUUGGGUGGUCUAUUUUCUUUUUCUAAACUCAUUUCCCCUUUAUUUGUUUUUUCUUUUCAUGCUCUCUCGAGUGCUUCGGGGUAUAGCAUCACCUAUUUUGAGUUAUGCGUCCCACACCAGUUAUGUUUGUUGUGCUUCCAUCACAUAAGCUAGAUUAAAGGGAUCCAUUGUCCAAACCUUGUGAUAUGAUAUUAUAAUCAUAUUUUCAAGGGCUUGCCUUAUCAAUUUUGUAUGAGAAUGGGCUAGGGACCUCAAUUGUCACCUUUGGCAUAGUUGUAUAAACUGGUUUAUUAGUUUUAAUACUCGAUUUCUCAUCAUAAAAGAUGGUGAUAGUUCUAAAAUUCAUAUGAACUAGCAUAUCAACCUUAACACUCAAUUUCUCUUCAUAAAAUAUGGUAAUAGCCUCAAAACUCAUUCGAUAAGGUUUGCUUUUGGACGAAUCUCCAGUCACAACAUUUACUGAACUCUUUUCAUGUUUUUUAUAAAAUUCGACUAUGAAAUAAUCCAUCAUCCUCUGUAAUUUUUCUAAAUGCUUCACAAUCUUGAAGUGAAUGACUAACUAUCCCCAUAUGAAAUUCACAAGUUUGAUUAGGAUUAUCUAAAAAAUUCUCAUUUUUUGUAUUUCCAGGUAUUGGGCAAAUCAUAUUGGCUUUCACUAGAGUAGCAAAUAGGGGUUUUAAUCUUGCUUACUUCUCUUUUGAUGUUUCAAGUUGUCUCGUUACUUAAAGCAUUUAUUGAUCCCCCACCAUGAUUAGGUAAUAGAUUGGUCUCCAUACUUGGUCUGACCUUAGUUGUGAAAUUGAAAAUUUUGUUAUCAAUCAAGCUUUGCACCUUAUGUUUGAAAGCUAUACAAUUUUUCAAAAAGUGGCUUUGAAUCCCAUAAUGAAAAUCACAGUAAGUUUUAAGAUCAUACCACUUCAGAUAUGGAGGUUUUAAAGGCUUUAUUGGUUGUUGAGCCACCAAGUGCUUUUGGAAUAAAUGAGGGAACAGUUUCGUGUAAGUCAUAGGAAUUUGAUCAAAUCGUUAUUGCUCUCAAUUAUUUUAAGGUUCCCUUUAAUUAAAGUUUGUCACGUUUGAUUGAGAGGAAAGUUGUGGUGGAGGUGUUCAGGGAUAAACAUUGGUUUACAAGGCAGGAAUCUGGGUUUGCAUUGGUCGAAAAUGGUAUGGGUUUUGGAAAAUGUUGAAAAUGGUUGGGUAAGAAGGUUGGUAUAUAAGAUACGAAUGGUAUAGGGUAAAAGGUCUCGAUUUUUUUUUUCAGUGGUAAAGCUUGCACUUCUACUUCUUUCUUCUUGGGUGGUCCUCUUUUUUUUUUUUUUUAUCUUGAAACAUUACCUCCUUCGAUCUUUCCAUUUUUAAUAGCAUUUUCUAUUAUCUCACUGGAAAGCACCAUAUCAGCAAAGUUUUUCAUGGCAUGACGAAUGAAUCUAUCAUAAUACGAGGCUUGAAGGGUGUUGAUAAAUAGAAUAAUUGUUUCUUUCUUGGUAGGACGAGGUUGAACUUGAACGGCAACAUCUAAUCAUCUCUAGCAUAUUCUUUAAAGUUUUCGUUAGCCUUUUUUUUCAUGUUUUGUAAAGACAGUCUAUCUAGAGUCAUGUCUAUGAUAAGCUCGUAUUGAUUAAUAAAUUCUUUGGCUAGAUCUUUCCAUGAAUGAAUAUGGCUCCUAUCUAAUUGAAUAUUGUUAGCUUUAAAACUUGAAUUAAACCAAGAAGAGGUGAAUUAGUUGAUAAUAAAUUUUUUGUAAAUUUAAUAUCCAACAAGUACAAAGAUCACAAAUCAAUUUUUCUAAGCAUGUAAACACAACAAAGAUGAGUACUAAUAAUUUUAAAAACAAGAAAUAACGAUAAUAAAUCAAACACCAAAUUUUAUAGAGGUUCAGCCAUUUCUUUAGGCACCUACGUCCUCUAUUUUAGCCUUAUUUGCUAAGGAGUUUAAUCCACUAUGUGUUGAAAGUUACAACCUUGCUCUUCAAAGCUAUACACAAAUAACAACACAAUCUCUUAAGGGUUAUCCUCCCCUUUAAGCUUACAACCUCGCAAUAUAAUUUUUUGAAAUGUUUUGCAAACUCCAAGAACCUUUUUAAGAUUGGGUAUUUGUUAAUUUGAAGCGCAAAUUAAGAUUAAGAAGAAUAUCAAGAGAAAAUCUAAUACAAUAAAAAUUUUUGCACUUCUCUCACAUUAAGAUGCUCUUUAAUGCUUGGUGAAGAUGGUAGAUGGAAGCAAUAAGUUUUCUUAGCUCUUAGUUUCUUCAAAUAUGGUGAGAGACCUUCAUUUAUAUGUUGAGUAUGGAAGAUAGUAGUUGCUUGCAUUAAUUGUUUGGAGCCUCUGCAAAUUUUAGACAAAAAUAGCUGUAGCAAGCACUCUAAGCACGGGGGGAUCGAUCCCCUCUUAAGAGGAUUAAUUGGGUCAGUUAAAAUUUAAAUAAUUUUACGCAUGAAAAGGCAUAACUAAUCAAUCCAUAUUUAGUACCAAUUGAUCCCUUUUUUAGGUGAUCGAUUCCUUCCUAAAGUCUAGAGAAAAGUUUUCAUUCUGUGUAAGAAACAAUCAAUCCCUUCAUGAGAGGAUUGAUUCUAUCUUUAAAACCCUGGAACUGAUCGAUCCAUAAAAGGAGAAUCGAUUGGUUUUCAUGAAAUUUGCACGAGAAAGCUUUCUGGCCAAAAAAUUAAUCGAUCCCUUUAAAGGGAAAUCGAUCCCUUCUAUGUUACUUUGCCCAAUUCUAUUUUUAAACCAUACCAAAUGAAUAUGAACAAAUUUCUAACUCGAUUAAAAGCUGAAAAAGUAUUCAAAUUAAGUUCAAAUCAUUUUAAUUCAAGUUUAGCAAAUUUUUGUUUUGUUAUUUCAAAAUGUUUUAUCAAUUCAAGGUUAACAAUCUCCUCUUUUUUGAUAUGACAAAACCAAUAGUAAAAAAAUUUACUUUGAAAACAUUUUUCUAUUUCAAGAAAGUUCUCCCUGAAUUUAAGCAAGAUCAACAAAAUUAAAUGGCCAAUUUUGCAUUAUGAACAUAGCAAAAAUUUAUCAACUAGUAACAUAAUAGUUUAGCAACUACUUUUCACUAGCAAAAUUUCACAAUACACAAGCAAACUUCUUCCUCUUUUUGUCAUAACAAAAAAAAAAAAAUCUAAGAGUAAGGCAACAAAACUAUAACCAAUGUAAGAUCAACUUACUCAAUCAAUUCAAGGCAAUAAUAUUAUACUCAACCUAAGGCCACUAUCAUUGAAUGUCAAUACUUUAGCUCAUCAUAGCAUCAUAAUGUCAAGAAUGAGAAUAACCAUAAUAGCACUUUCAUAGCAACAUAAUCAUGUACAAUAAACUUUGAAUUUCAAAAGCACACAAGCAAACAAAGAAAAGUUCAUGCCAUUAAAGUUCAGCCAUUAUAUGCAAAGUACCAAAGUUGAUGCUACAAUAAACUAUCUUAAAGAAAAUUAAAAACAAAAAAAACAUCAAAAGAAAGACAUGUAGGAAAAACAUUUAGGCUUGGCUCUAUGGAUAGGUCAAGGUGGAAGAGGAUAAGAAGGAAAAUGAUGAAAAUGCUACUUUAUUUGUUCUUGUGUAGUCGGAUGAGUCCAAUAUCAGUCUUAACUUGUUGAACUUGUGAAACCAUCUCAUUUUGGGUUAGUUUCAUAUUUUUCAAUCUAGAGUUCAUAUCCCCAACCAAUGAGUGUAAACUAUUCAUCUGAGUCAUAAGAAUUUGUAAAACUUUUUAGGUAUCAAAUGGUGGAUUAGAAGGACAUUCUUGGGAAUAUCUUGUAGAACUUCUUGUAGAAUAUCUUAAAUCUCAUGCUUUUCUUUAUGUUUAACUCCAAGUUCAUUUUUCUUAAUCUAUACCCUAAUAAUAUAAUGAGUGUAUCUCAUACUAUGAAGUGUAUGAACUUCAAUAACACUAGUAAGAUCAGAUACAAUCUUUCUAUCACUUAUAGUAUUGAUACCCACCCUUCUAAAUAGAUUGCUAAUGGCUAUCCUAUAUACCAAAGUGUAGUCCAUGUUUUGAACAACCCUCAUCAUAUCAUUAAAAAUGAAGUGUAUAAGAUUGGAUUUUACCUUAUAUUUGAUCUUAUAUAUCCGUCAAUAAUCUUGUUUCCUAAUGGUGGACUAUUGGGUUCUAAAUGGUGCUAACACAUGUGUGACGAUAAGAUGAAGUAAUCUAUUAUGCAUGUUCAACCUAGAAGCUUGAGUUAGAGCAACCUUAAAAUCAUCAUUCUCAAAAAUAUUUUGGGCCAAUUCAAGCAUAUCACAUCUAGUAUUUGUGUCUUCAUUAUCUUUUAACAUGAAAAUUUCAGCUAAUAAGUUUUUGUCCAUAACUAUUUCUUUACCCAUCACAAAUGUCCUAAAUUUAUCAAUAUAAUACCUAUUCCCAUGUCCAUCAACUUCAAUACAGUUUGCAUUACUAUAAAAUACCCUUACUAGAUUCUCAAAGACAAUGCCAUCCAAACUAAAAUAAUUCAUCCAACCAAAAUUUUUAAAAGCAUGUAAGUAUGCAAAUCCAAUAGAUUGAAAAAAAUUAACAUUGAUUACCCUUCUUUGCUUGACUUCUCUAUGAGCAAAAUGAGUCUCAUAUCUUUUUUUUGCUGUAGGAUUUUCAAAAUUUUGGUUGAAAGAAGGUUUGAUUGAAGAACUAGAAGCUUUCCUUGGUGGAUUUCUCCUUGUGGCAAGAUGAGGUCUUAUUUUAGGUGCCAUGGAAAUAAUGGAAUAGUGAAAAUAUAAAGGCUUAUAUGAAAAUUGAUAAAGGAAGUUGUGAAUAUAGGUGACAAGAAGUAGAAUAUGUUUGAGAAAGACAAAAAAAUUGAGUGAACGAGGUAGUUUUAAUGGAGGCACAAAAGGGGAUCAAUUUUUUCAAGUAAGAAGCAUGAGUGGAAAUUUUUGUGUGACUUGAAGGAUUUUUAAAGAAGAUUUUGUAAGAAAUCAAAUAGAUAUGAAGCAAUUUGCAAAAGAUUUUAAUUGAAAGUGACCAAUUUGGAGAGAAAUUAAAGCAUGAAUACCUAGGUUUUAGGAGAAAAUGUUUUUAGAAAAAGAAAAAAAGACUAUUAGUCAACCAAAAAAAAGAGGAAAGCCCAAAUUUUAAAUGGUCAAAAUGAUACACAUAAAGGAUAUUGUUCAUGACCUAAUUGAUUGGAUAGCAAGGAGAUCAUUCGGGUAAAGUCUUGGUGAACUUGGGCAAGCCAUGGACCGAUUGAUUGGGUCCAAAGGGGAUCAAUCGGGUCCAAGGUUUUCAACAUUAUUUUGGAUACUGGAAAGAAAACUAAUUGAUCUGGUGUGUUUGGGAUUGAUCGGUUCACUUGUAGCAAAAAUAUUUUUUUUAAAAUUUUUUUUAAAAACAUGCAAUGUAACUAUUCGAAUAUGCAUCAUAUAAUUACAAAUAUAAUCAUAGACAAGAUUUCAAAAAUAUAUCAACAUAAACAUACAUUAGGUCUAACAAGGUGCAAAUAUAUCAAUUCAUCAAGAAUUUCAUUUUAAAGAGCAUUCAUCAUACCGAGUUCACCUCUAAUUGUAUAAAAUCUAUCUUUGUAAAAAGGUUUUGUAAAAAUAUAAGCUAAUUGAUGCAAAGUAUCAACAUAUUCAAGCACAAUAUCAUCCUUUUGAACAUGAUCUCUAAUGAAAUGAUGCCCAAUUUCAAUAUGCUUAGUUUUUAAAUGUUGAAUUGGAUUUUUAGUGAAACAGAUGGCACUAGUAUUAUCACAUUUAAUGAAAAUGUGAUCCAUGAUAAUUCCAAAAUCCUCUAAUUAUUGUUUAAUCCACAAAAUUUAGGCAUAACAACUAUCGACCACUACAUAUUCAAUUUCGAUUGUAGAUUAAGCAACACUAUUUUGUUUCUUGUAAAACCAUGAUAUAAGCAUAUUCUUAAACAAUUGACAAGUAUCAGAAGUGCUUUUUUUAUCAAAUAUACAACCAUCAAAAGCCGUAUUGGAAUAAGCCUGUAAAGCAAAAGAUGAAUAUUUUGGAUACCAUAAUCCUAAGUUAGGAGUAUCCUUAAGGUAUCUAAAAUUGUUUUAACAAGUAAAUGUGAUUCUCUAGGUGAUGAUUGAAAUCUAGUACAUAAGCACACAUUAAACAUUAUAUCUAGUCUACUUACAGUAAGAUUUAACAAUGAAUCAAUCAUAGACCUAUAUAAUUUGGAUUCAAUACAUUUACCUCAUUCAUCCUUGUCAAGGUUUGUUGAAGUGCUCGUAGGUGUUGAGUAAGGCUUUGAUUCUUCCAAUCCAAACCUUAUGAGCAAUUCUUUGAUGAGUUUGGCUUGAUUGAUGAAGGUACCAUCUUUUUUUUUGCUUUACUUGUAAUCCUAAAAAGAAUGUAAGCUCUUCCAUCAUGCUCAUUUCAAAUUCAUCUUGCAUAGUUUUAGCAAAUUCUUGACAAAGAACUUCAUUAGUAGUACCAAGUGUAAUAUCAUCAAAAUAAACUUGCACAAUGAAAAAGUCAUUUCCUUUUGUUUUAAUAAAAAGUGUAGUAUCAACCUUCCCUCUAUUAAAAUCAUUUUCAAUUAAAAAUUUUGAUAAUUUUUCAUACCAAGCUCUAAGAGCUUGUUUUAAACCAAAUAAAGCUUUUGUCAAUUUAUAAAUAUAAUUUGGAAAUUGAAGAUUUUCAAAAUUGAGAGGUUGUUCUACAUAUACCUCUUCAUUUAUAAAACCAUUUAGAAAUGCACUCUUGACAUCCAUUUGAAAAUGCUUGAAUCUUUGAAACAUGUAAAUGCAAACAACAUUCUAAUGGCUUCUAACCUUACAAUUGGGGCAUAGGUUUCAUUAUAAUCAAUUCCUUCUUUCUGACUAUAACCUUGAGCCACCAACCUAGCUUUGUUUCUAACAACAUUGCCAUACUCAUCUAUUUUAUUUCUAAAAACCCAUUUGGUACAUAUAGUAAGAUAAUCACUAGGCCUAGGUGCAAGAUUCCACACUUGGCUUCUUUCAAAUUUGUUCAAUUCCUCUUACAUAGCUAAUAUUCAAUAAUCAUCUCCUAAGGCUUCAUCUAUGUUCUUGGAUUCAAUAUAAGAAAGAAAAGUAACAUAAUUACACACAUUGUAAGUAGAUCUAUUUUUUUCCUCUUGAGUUGGAUCACCAAUAAUCUCACUAUCUUUCGCAUAUCUCCUUUCUCUAUGGUGAUUUGAUUUUUUCUUUAUUUGUUGCAGUUUCUCUAGAAACUUUUCAUCUUCUUUUUGAAUGUUCUCCUCAAUGUCAUGUGAUGCAUCAUUGAUAUUUUUUUGAAGUAUAGCUACAUCAUCAUCAUCAAGAGAUACCUUUCUUAAAGGUAGAUUAGAUUCAUUAAAGAUAACAUGUAUAGACUCUUUAAGAACUAAUGUUCUUUUAUUAAAGACUCUAUAAGCUUUUGAAUUCAAAAAAUAUCCUAGGAAAAUGCCUUUAUCACUUUUUACAUCAAAUUUUCUGAGAUUAUCUUUUCCAUUAUUCCAAAAAAAAAAAAUCUGCAACUAAAAGGAUAAAAAUAACUUAUGUUUGGUCUUUUUCCUUUAAAACGUUUAUAGGGAGUUUUAUUUAAGAUUGACCUAAUCAUAGCUCUAUUUGUAAAAUAACAAGAAGUAUUUAUGGCUUUUGCCUAAAAAUAUUUGGACAAAUUAUUUUUACAAAGCAUGGUUAUAGCCAUUUCUUUUAAAGUUUUAUUUCUCAUUUCUACUAGCCUAUUUUAUUGACGAGUUCUAAGAGCAAAAAAUUAUGGCUAAUACCAUUUUCACUACAAAACACAUUAAAGCCAAGGUUUUCAAAUUUUUUCCAUGAUUAGUUCUAAUACUAAAAAUUGAAUAACCCUUCUUAUUUUGUAUUUGUUUGCUAAAAGUGAUGAAUUUUUUCAAAGCUUCAUUCUUUGAAUGCAAGAAAAGAACCCAUGUAUAUCUAGUAAAAUCAUCAAUAAUUAAAAAACCUAUAUUGUUUUCCACCAAAGCUCAUUGUCCUAGUAAGACCAACAACCAAAUCAUUUUCAUAUUUUAAUUUUAGUAAACCAAUAACCAAAUCAUUUUGAGAAAGUUUUGAAAUUACAUCCAUACUUGCUUGUCCAAGUCUUCUAUGCCAAAUCAAACUUUCAUUUUCUUUUUAAGCCAUAAAACAAACAUUUUUAGAAGAUAGAUCGUCCAAAUGCACCACACAAACAUUUCCUUAAUGAUGUCCAAUAAAAACAAGUUUGUAAUCUUGAUAUCAAUUACUUGACAGCACAUGGGUUCAAAUACAACUCUAUGUCCUUUGUCAUAUGAUUGACUAAUACUAAGUAAGUUAUGCUUAAGUCCAUUUACAAGUAAAACAUUUUUAAUAGUAGUAGAAGAAUUAUUACCAAUAGAGCUAAUCCAUUCAACUUGGCCUUUAGAGUUAUCUUCAAAUGUAACAUCUCUUCCACUUUUAGCCUUUAAGUUCUUGAAUUGAGCAUUGUUUCUAGUCAUAUGUUUUGAGCAUCCACUAUUAAGGUACCAUGAAUUUGUUCUUGCUUGAAUUUACCUUGUAACAAUGCUCAUUCACCUGCAAGAACAUAAUUAAAAUUUUAUUUUGGGUACCCAAACUUUCUUGGGUCUUUAAGUCUUAGUACUUAUAAUUUUUGUACAUUUUGGAAUCCACUUCAUUCUAAUAAUCUCAUCUUCAUAUGUGCUAACUCCUUUUAGAAUCCACACACUCUUAAUGAGUUUACCUUUAUGAGUGACUUUCUUCAAGGAAUAAUAUCGUAUAAAAUGACCUAAUUUGUGACAAUAUUUACAUGUGCUAGAUGAAUCAUUUGGCUUAACAAGGAAAUUCUUCAAAUAAGUUUUUUUGCCACCACUAUUAUAACCUAAUUCAUCUUUAUCAAAGAAUGCUUUUUGUGUUUCAAGCAUGUCAUUAAGUUUUUAAUGUCUCAUAUAAAAUCUAGAAAAUAAGUUAUGCAAAUUCUCAUUUUUCUUAGUCAAAUCAUCAACAUUCAAUUUUAAAAGCUUAAUUUGCUUUUCUAAGUCAUUCUUUGCUUUAAUCAAAAGCUCAUUCUAUACUUUCAACUUAGAAAUUAUUUUUCUAUACUUCAUGUUCAUGCCUUUACAUUCUAUAGCUAAUUCAUUAAAAACUUCUUGCAAUUCAUCAAAUGUGUAUGAACUUAAAUCAUUUCAAUUAGAAAUUUUCUUGGGCUCAUCAAGAGCCAUGAGACAUAUGUUUGUUAUUUUCUUCUCAUUUGAUUCAUCAUCGGAGAAGUCACUAUCACUCUAUGUUACAACUAUUACUUUCUUAUUUGACUUUGUGGUGUUUUUUUUUUUCUUUCAUAAAAGACAAUUGAAUUUGAUAUGAUCUAGUUUGUUACAUUCAUAGCAAACAAUUUGAUCCCUUUCUCUUCUAUUUAAUUCUCCUUUGAUCAUUUUCUUUUGUGGUUUUCUCUUAUUUGAGAACUUGUUAAUCUUCAUAAACUUUUUGAAUCUUUUGAUAAACAUGGGCAUUUCUUCAUCUUCAUUAACCUUAUCUUGCUUAACUUUUUCUUCAUUUUCUUAAAAGGUUAAUUUGAGAGCAAUACCAUUUUUCUUGAUUGGUUCUUGUACUUUUUUUAGCUUCAUCUCAUAGGUAAGAAGAAAGCCCAUGAGUUCAUCCAAAGAGAGUAUGUGAGGAUCUUUAAACUCUUCAAUGGUUGCCAUCUUAGUUUCAUAACUUUUUGGUAGACUAUUUAAAAUUUUCUUCACCAUCUUCACAUUUGAGUAAGUCUUCCUAAGAGCCUUCAAACCAUUAAUGAUGUUGGUGAAGUGGUUUGACAUUUCACUAAUGGUUCCUUCUAAUUUCAUCUUGAAUAGCUUAUAAUCAUGAGUAAGCAUGCCAAUUUUGAUCUCUUUCACUUGUUAGUACCUUCAUAAGUGAUGGCUAAUUUCUUCCAAAUUUCCUUUGCAUUUUCACACAAAGAAACUCUAUUGUACUCAUUAGGCCCUAAUGCAGAAAAUAGUGUAUGCAUUGCUUUGGCAUUGAGUUAAGCCAUCUUCAUAUCAUUGACAUCCCAUUCACUUUCUUACUUGACCACCUCUCUACCAUCCACAAUCUUAAUUAAAAUUUGAAAACCAUUUAUAAUAACCCUUCAAACUUCAUAGUCAUUGGCUUGAAUAAACAAUUUUAUCCUAGUCUUCUAAUAUGGAUAGUUGUCACCAACAAAAAGUUGAAGUCUUAUAAUUGAAUAGCCUUCACCUCCAAAAGAUGUAGCAAUCAUUUCAUUUACCAUGAGAUACAUUUCUUGUUGCCCACUAUAUUUGUUGUAACUUGAGGAUGGUUGCUCCACAUUGAUCACCAUGCUUUAUUGAGUCAUUUUCAAGAUCAAUCUUAGGUUGUUAGACCUAAAAAAAAAAAGAAUUUUAGCUAUGAUAUCAAUUGUUAGCUCAAAGACUUGAAUUAAACUAAGAGGGAAGUGAAUUGGUUGAUAAUAAAUUUUUUGUAAAUUCAAUAUCCAAUAAGAAUAAAGAUCACAAAUCAAUAUUUCUAAGCAAGUAAAUACAAUAAAUAUUCAUACUAAUAAUCUUAAAAACUAGAGAUAGAUAUAGAAAAUCAAACAUUAAAAUUUAUAGAGGUUCAACCUUUCCUUUAGAAACCUACGUCCUCUCUUUUAGCCUCACUUGCCAAGGAGUUCAAUACACUAUGUGUUGAAAGUUACAAUCUAGCUUUUCAAAGCUCUACAUGAACAAUAAUAUGAUCUCUUAAGGGUUAUCCUCCCCCUUUAGCUUACAACCUCACAAUACAAGUUUUUUAAGUGUUUUACAAACUCAAAUAUCUCUCUAAGAUUUGGUGUUUGCUAAUUUGAAGUACAAAUCAAUAUUAAGAAGAAUAUCAAGAGAAAAUAUGAUAUAACAAGAAUUUAUACACUUUUUUCCCACUAAGAUGCUCUUUAAUGCUUGGUGAAGAUGGUAGAUAAAAGUAAUAAGUUUUCUUGGCUCUUGGUUACUUUAAAUAUGGUGGAAGACUUUCAUUUAUAUGUUAAGAAUGAAAGAUGCUAUUGCUUCCAUUACUUGUUUGAAGCCUCUACAAUUUUUAGACAAAAAUAGUUGUUGCAAACAUUCUGGGCACAAGGGGAUCGAUCCCUUUUAUGGGGGGAUCGAUCGGGUCAGUUAAAAUUCAAGCAAUUUUACGUAUGAAAAGGCACAAGCAAUCGAUCCAUAUUUAAUACCAAUCGAUCUUUUUUUUAGGUGAUCAAUCAUUCAAUUUGGGUGAUCGAUCCCUUCCUAAAAUCUAGAGUAAAGUUUUCAUUCUAUGUAAAAAACCAAUUAAUCAUUUCAUGAGGGGAUUGAUCUUAUCUUUAAAACCCUUGAACCAAUCAAUUCAUAAAAUGAGGGGAUCAAUUGGUUUUCAUGAAAUUUGCACAAGAAAGCUUUCUGGCCAAAAAAAUUAAUCGAUCCCCUUGAGGGGGGAUCGAUCCCUUUAUGCUACUUUGCCUAAUUCUAUUUUUAAAACCAUGCCAGAUGAAUUUGAAUAAAUUUUUAAUUGGAUUAAAAGCUGAAAAAGUAUUUAAAUUAAGUUCAAAUCAUUUUAAUUUAAGUUUAACAAAUUUUUGUUUGUCAUUUUAAAAUGUUUUAUUAAUUCAAGGCUAACAAUACUUUUAGGACUUCAAGCACUACCAACUCUCCCAAAAGUAAUUACCGUUAAGAAGGUGCAUACCCUAGACUUAUAGUGCAUUUCGUACACACAAGCACCCAUGGUAUUCAAGAAUAUGGAGUUGAUGGAUAUGACCAACCUUCAAUCUGUCAAUAAAUAUACCAUCUGAUAGCUAAUUCGAUAAGACUAUCUUAAAAAUAAUGGAUAAGCAACUUAUCCUUGUCUGUAUGCUCGAUCAUUUGUUGGCUAGACAUGGUGAUAUAUGCCAAGUGGUAUUUGGUUUCAUCAUAUUUUUUAAAUUUUGGUACUUUAAACUUUGGUGGGAUUACCAAAUUUGAAACAAAACUAAGUCACUUGCAUCAAUUAUGCCAAAAAUAUUCACACCUUCAAUAGCUCACAACCUUUCUUUUAAGAGAUCUAACUUCUGUUGUACUUUUAUAUUCUCAAAUUGUUUGGACAUGCCCUUUUUUAUUCUCUUUCAUUAUUUUAGGUCAUCUAAAUCUGAGACCAUAAUGGGCUCAACAUGACUUACCCCAAUGUUUAGACUAAUGUGUCCUUAACUCUCUGGUUGAACUGUGAAGGGAAGUAAUUAAACUAAGCAUAUGGCCACCUUUUAGGCUAUGUCAUUUGUGGAUGCACUUAAUGAGAAGUUUGAGCAUAGGGUGGGGUAAACCCUGGUGGAUAUAAUGGAUAUUCCUUAUCACUGGUAUUUUCUUAGGCUUGAGGCUCUUUUUAAGUGAUCACUUCUUCAGCUACCCUUUUUCUCUUUGUGAUUUUCCUUAUCAUGUCCAUCAUUACAACCAUUUCUUUUCAAGUCUCUUCUUGACACUUAGUCAUUUGUUCUAUUAACUCUUGUUGAGAAUUAAUCAUCUACACUUGCAUAUAAAACUAAGCUUUCUUCAUCAUUUUCAUUCUAGAUGUUUGCUCAUUUUUUAUGAUUCUAACUUGUGAAUGAUAUUGUAAUGAUGACAAGUGGUCUGAUAUAUGUUUUCUAAUGGCCUAACUAUCCUUACACCUGAUCGAGUUAAGGAAAACUCUUCGAGAUUUGUUAUUUUGAGGCCUCUUUUUUUUAGUCAUGAUGUAUUUUUAUUUUAAGAUUUAGCAUUGAAUGAAACACACGUAUAAAGCAUGAAUGUAAAUGAUGUGCUUGUUAUAUAUCCAAUAUUUGUAAGAGAUUUUAAAUCUAAACUUAAACUACCAUAUCAUAGUGUCACAUUAUUCUUAUUAACUACUUCCUUCAUUAUAAUAUUAAAAUUUUUAAAAGAAGUGCCUUACAUGCUUGUACUGCUCAUAAGCAUCAUCUAGAAAAAUUGUCAAGCAUUGGCUAUGCUAUCCUAGGUAAACUUCUUCCUUUACUUGUUUAGCUUCUUGGGCUAUAUCUCUUGCUUUAGAGCUGGCUUUUUUUAUCUAUUCUACUAGGUGAGUUUCUUAAGAUUCCAUCAGCAAACAUUAUUUCUUCUAAUACUAUGCUCUAUGUUCAAAUUGAUCUUGUCCUUUCAAAACUUGAAUAGCUUCACGUCGAUAACGCAUUUGCUGUUUCAAGUCAUCUAUGAGACCUUGUAGUAUCUUUUUUUCUUUCAUAAACUAACUAAGCUCUUUUUCUUUAGACAACAAAUUAGAUAGGAGUUGUUAUGCAUUUUUUUCUAAAUUUUUCAAGUUUUGUGGUCAUUGAAGUGAUGGAUUUAUGACAAUUUUCAGAAAUCUCUUGUUCUCUUUCAAGUUUUCGAGAUUUUGCUUCACUUUUAUCAAUUUUAUCUUUCCACUUAUUAAUCUCAUGCUGAAGCUUCUUCUUUUCAAGUUUUCAUAUUUUUUUCUUUAAAUUUACGCUUCAUAAUCAUUAUGUUUUCAGGGAUCUUUUCACAAUGGAUAAUUUUUUAGUGGCAUGGUCUCUUUUAUUUAGGACUAACUUUGCUUAUGACGCAUUGACUCCUCAAUAUUAGAUAUUUAGGUGUGGCUUUUUCCAUAUACCCCUCACGAUCCACUCUCUGGGUCUAUUUCCAUUAUUUGAUAAUCUCUUUCAUCUUUUCAAGGAAUCCUGGCUCUUUGAAAGAGAAUUCUAAUUUUUAAAACCUAUAAGUCAUAAGAACAAAUUGCUUUGUCCCUAAUUGUUGAUGAAACAUUGUCGAAACAUAGCUUAUACCUCCCUAUAACCCUAAGAAUGAGACCCACGAUUUGUUGCCACACUUGUACAACAUGACUUUUGGUGGCAUCCAUGGAGCUUUCCAUAUAACUUAAGUACUGGUUAGAUUUUGUAAAAUCAAUACCCACUCUUCUUUAGACUUUGAUUCUAGCCACUUAACAUUGUAGCAUUCUUCGAUUAGCCUACUUUUAUUACUAUAAGUAUGAUGAAAUUUACCUAUCAAAUACUGAAGAUGACUUUUUACCUAAAUGUCGAGUAAUUGUGAACACCCUAUGAAGCAUCCGUCUUUUAUUCGACAGUGAUUCAAUGAUCUAAAAGUUUUUACUAGUAUAGAAAAACCAAGAUUGAUUUUAUUGUCCAUCUACUAGAAGAAGUCGAUUACUAAUAACUUAAGGUGCCCCGGGACCUUUGAAAAAAUGAUGAAGCCAUAAAUUGCCAAAACUAUUAUUCUCAUGCCUUAUUCAUCCUCUAAGUGUUUGAUGAUGUAGUUACGCAAGAUUUCCCAUGGGAUGCAAUGAUUUUUUAUCUUUUGUUUGGAUAUAUGAGUUCAUAUUCUGAGUGAUGACCUUCAUCAUAUAAACAAGUUUCUUUAGAGAUCCAAGUUUUUGACUUCACCAAUAUAUUCUAUUUGUAUUAAGAAGAUGUAACCAUAGUAAUGUAGUAUACUUUUCAAUCAUCAGGGUUAUAUCUAUCUCGUUAAACAUGAAACAUCUGUAUGUAAGGUCCCAAAACUAAACUAGAGCUCUUAUUAACUAAUUUUUCAUAGACACUUCAAGGAGUGAAGCAAUAUAACCAUAUUUUUCUUCGAAAACCAUCUUUUUAGGAGUUGUUACAUGGUGCCAGAUCUUGACUAACUCUAAGAUAUCAUUUUGUUGAAGCCCCAGUAUAAUUUUUUCAAGCAUAAUUUUUUUGUUCAGAUUUUUUUCAAACAGUUUCCCAUUCUUCUUUGGGCUUCUAAAGAUAGAGUUAUCACGACAUUAGUCUCUUCACAUGUGAUGGGCUUCAUAGCUAAAAACAUCAGGUUGGUGUUUCUUAAGCAAGAUCGAAAAUCUUCUAACUGAUAUUAGCACAUUGACAAGUACAUUUCAUAUGCAAGUGUUUAUGAUGAUGCAUGAACAUGAAACAAAAAAAAAAACAGAAUAGAUUAAGGUUAGUAAUCGUAUUAAAAUAAAUAUUCCCUCGUGUGUCCUAUUUAGGGUAUAAUCUAUAAAACUGGUAUGGCUUUAUCUAAGGUUGGUUUAUUAAGGUUCACUAUAUACAACCUUUGGUAAUUAACAUAGGCUAAUAAGGUUUUCAAAUUGAUCCUCACUAUUGUCCACUCUGUACUAGUAAGGCCCUUGAUCUUCACCCAUAAUGGGCUACCAACACAAAAAGUUUAACUUGAGUGAAAGUAUUUCGUUAGCCCAAGCGGAGGCAUUAUACCUUCAUAAAAGUGUAGGUAUUCUACUCUCUCCUAAAAAGGGAUAGAUUUGGGAGUCCGGGUAUGAAGCUUAUGCAUGAAUGUAAAUAUGCAUGUGUGUGAGGGAAUGUAACAAUUAUUAAUCAAAAUAAAAUCAAUAAUAUAAAAAAAUAAAUGACAUUACAAAACUGAAUGAAUCCAUCAAAAUUUUACCUUUUUUUUUCCUUAUUUUUAUUCUAAGAUGAGAUAAGAAAUUAAAAUUAAAUAUUGAAAAGAUCGUAAAAUCAAAGUUUAGAUGACACAUGUUUAAUUUUUGGUUUGACUCUCUAGCGUCCCCAGUGGAAUCGCCAAGCUGUCAUAAUGAUUUCUUAUUUAGGGGACUUGAUCACUAGACUUGGUGAAAAUUUUUGAAGUCGCCACCAAUCUUAUUUUUUAAGGGUGUGAUUGGCCACCCAAAAAUAUUAUCUUUUAAUAAACAUCUUAAAAUUAAUUAAGAUUUACUUAAAAACAUUUUGUUUUGUGAAAUCAGGGUAAGAUCUAGGAAUACGGUUACUAAUGAGGAAGGUAUUAGCACCCUCACGUCACUCAUUUGAAGAAUAGUACCAAUUAAACAUGUGUUAUCUUUUAACCUUGACAAUGUGGUCUUUUUUUAUAUUUAAAUUUAAUUUCCUAAAAUUUAUUUAUGAAAAAUAUUUUUUGUUAUGAAAUCAGUAUUAUUAUUAUUUCAUAUUCUAUUUCAUCAUAAAAUAUUUUAUUUAUUUAUUAAAAAUGAUUUUAGGAACAUCCCAACUCUUUGACGAAAUCCAAAAUUUGUUACACAAAUUUUAGAUUAUCCGAAUUCUUUGGUGAAAUCUUAAAAAUUUUAAACAAAUUUUAGGAUCAUUUUAACUUUCUGACAAGAUCCUAAAUAAAAUUAUUUUUUAUUGAUAAUAAUUAAAUUAAGAGAUUUAAUUAAUUUUUAUUGUGAUUAUUUUAAUUUUUUUAUUAUUUACUAUUUAUUAUUUAAAUAAAUAUUUAUUUAGUAAAAAAAAUAAUUUUUAGAUUAUCCCGACUCAUUAAUGAAAUCUAUUAAUAUUUACUUGCAUUAAUUAAGGAAAAUUGAACUCUUUUAAUUCUCUUUGAAAAUUACAUUUUUAGAAUAUUUAUUCAAAAUAUCAAUUAUUAUUAUUUUAUUAUUUUAUAUUGUUUAAAUAAACCUUUAUUAUAGUAAAAAUAAUUUUAGAUUAUUUCAACUCUACGGUGAAAUUCAAAAAGUUACUUUUACUUGCAAUAAUUAAAUAAAACCAAAUUUUUUCAGUUUUCUUUAAAAAUUACAUUUAAGAGAUUCAUUUAAACAAUUCAUUACAUUUUUAUUAUUUUUUAGCAAAAAUUAUUUUUUAAAUUAUCCCAACAUUUUGGUGAAAUUUAAAUAAUAUUUUGCUUGUAAAAAAUUUUUGAUUUUUCUUAAAUAGUUAUUUUUUUAAGGAUUUUUAAGAUUUAUGCAUAUUAUUUUUUAUUAGGUCCAUAUUUUAUUUUAAUUUUAAUUUUUUAUUUAUUUCUAAAAGAAUGAAUAUUAAUAAUAACAUAAAAUAACAAUAAUAAUAAUAAUAAUAAUAACAAUAAUACCAUAAAAAACAUAAAAAAUACGAUAAAAAUCAACACAUGAUAAAUAAAAUAAAAAUCAAAACAAAAAAUAAAAAGAAAAAAGAAAGGGAAAACCAUCCAAUUAGGUUUUGUCACUUGGCAAGUCGCACGCUAGUUAACGGGCCAAAGGUUACUAAAACGACGUCAUUUUGUGACACCUAUAAGAGGUUUAUAUUUGUUUUUUUUUUAUUUUUUCCCUUUUCUCUCUAAAAACCCAGAGCCUCUCUCUCUAGAAAAUACCUUCUCUGUUGAUCACCAUGCAAUCCCAGUUUUUGAUCGGUCGCUGUCAUGCUGUUGACGAAAACUUCAAUUGACAUCGAAAAAUUCAAACACAACAUAGAUUCAUGUGGGUUUUCCAAAUUUCAGUGGUUGAAAACUUCAACCAAUCACCGUAAAAUUUAAAUUUUUUCAGAUUUUGGCAAACAAGAAAAUUUCAAAAAAAUCCUAAAAAAUUUUAGAUCACUCCUUUUUAUUUUGUAAACACUCUUUCAAAAUUGAUUUAACAAAAAAAAAAAAAUCAAACCUCCUAGAUCGAGAAUUUCAUUCUCAGGGUUUUGUUGUGUUUCUAAAUUUUUCUUUUGUGUUUACUACUUGUUUGUUUUAUUUUUUUGUGCUUAUGCGUGCCUUUCUAUAUAGGUUUUUUUUAUGUUUUGCUUGUAGAGAUUGGCUCUAUUUAAAGAGCCGUUUAAAGAUCAAAUCCUAUAUUGUUUGGGACUUUUAUGGAAUUUUUUAUGAAAAAAAUAAGGAAUUGUCCAGUGACUUUUGGUCAUCGAAUUUCAUGCUGCCAAGUUAGACAGUGCAGAUAAAUUUUUAGUGCAUUAAAUGCACUGUGAUUUUGUGUAGAAGAUGAAAAAAAUAUGUCAAAAAAAAGAAAAAAAUUAAAAAAGGUAUCAAAAGAAAUGAAAAGAUAAUAAUAAUAAUAAUAAUAAUAAUAAUAAUAAUAAUAAUAAAUUAUUGAAAUGAGAAGAAACUAAAAAAAAUGGUGCUACACUUUGCAAUUAAUUUUUUGUGUUUAUUUAAUUGAUUUGAAAUUUAUUGCCUAUUGGUAAAUUGUGGUAUGACUUGUAUUAUUCUGCUAGAAUAGUAAGGGGAUCAUAACCCUGGCCAUAUAUUAGAGUUCAAGUUUCAUAUACUUUUUAUAACCUUAGCUGAAAAGAAAGAUAAACAUGAAAUAUAUUUACUAUAGAAAAAUUUUAAUAUAUAAAAUGAUUAUUAGAUAAUAAAAAAAGAUUAUUUAUUUUAUAUAAAAAAAUUUUAAACAUGCAGCAUUGUGCGGGCUUGCAUUUAGUUGUUUUUUAAUUAUUUAUUAUGCAUGUGUAAUAAAACAAUAUUUUGGAAGCUAGAAAAAUUUUUAGAAUGAAAUAACAAAAGAGCAAUGAAUUUUCCUAUCAACUGCUACAUUACAGAAGCUAAUUACUCUAACAACUGCCUUUAAGCAAUUGACUACACUAACAACUACUCAUGAAUAAAUUUUUUCAUAGACUCUCGUGUGACAGUUUGUUCGAAAAAUAGGUAAGACAAAUUGACUACACCUUAGGAACAAUUGACUCUCUUUCCCUUAAUUGCCUUGAGGACCGAUUAACUAGUUGAAUAAAACUUUGCAUUCUGUUAAGAAAAAUGUCAAAGAUAGUUAACUUCCCUUAUUAAGCAAUCAACUACUCAUCUGAGAAAGUUAAAAAAUAAGUCCGUUGGACAUGUGCUUUCAUUCCAAAUAAGGUGUUACUUCAUUCAAAUGAUGUUUAGUUGUGAAAGGACAUUUGAAGAUAUUUUUAGGUUUAUAUAUACUUUCUAAACACUCAUUUUUCAUAGAUUUUUAGCAUGUCAUUCUUUAAAAAUAAAAAUUAGAUUUUCUUUUCCUUUCACUCUAUUUUGUGGUUCAUGAUUCAAAUGUGUUCUAAGAAAAGAUGAAGUACAAUAAUCUCCAUUGUUAGACAUUGUAUCUUGGAGACAAUGUCUUUAGUAACUAUUUGCACCUUGUGGAGAAACUAUUAUCUUUAAGAAAGCUUUCCAGAAGUGCCUUGCCCAAGUUUUUUUCUUUUUUUCAACAAAAUUAGCAUUGGUUGUCACCCUUACAUACAAUAAUUUAAGUAUAAUAACGAGAUUGCAAUUAGUUUGCCAACCCAAAUACAACAAUUUAAGGAUAAUAUUUUUCUCCAUAACAACUUCUACAUUCAAGCGUCACAUUCAUGAAGUGGAGAAAUUUCUGUGGAAGGCAUAAAAAUUGAUUUUGGUAUUGAAUCAAAACCAUAUAGUUAUCAUUGGAAGAAUAAUCAUAGUGAAUGGUGGAUAAUUAUAGUUUGGUCAUAGUUUGAUUCUUGAAACAUGUUUGUUUUCAAGAUAUUGCUUCUGCAAAUUUUUGAAUUUCAAUAAGAGUAAGUAUCUUUCAAUAAUAAAGAAACAAACGAUAAAUGUUCUAAAAAGUAUAAUCUUUUUCGAUAUAUUAAGGUAUGUAAUUUACUUAUUGCAUUACUUUAUGCAAAUUGCAUGUUAAUGGUUUAAUAUUUGUUUUAAAACAUAAAUUAAAAAUCUCAUGAGAAUAUAUAUAUAUAUAUAUUUUUUUUUAAAUUAUCAUUGGUUCAGAUUUCAUUUUUUAUGACUUGAUUCUUAAUCAAAGAGUCAUGUUCUGGUAAAAUUGUAAUACCUCAACCCAAAUGAUAAUUGGGCUAGACUAUUACUAAAGCCUAUUAAGUUAAUUAAGAGAUUAAUUAGUAAAAAAAAAAAAAGGCUAAAGUAUUAUAUGAAAGAAAACAUAGCUAUCGUGAAACAGAAAGAAAAUAGGAGUAUUUCUUCCUCAUCUUCCUUGGGGUUAGAGAACAUGAAAAAUCAAGUUAAAGAUUUAAAAUCAGAGGCUACAAUCAAGUUAAUCUCCUACUGGUGAGUAUAUGCCCUCUUUUUAUUUAAGAAAAAAUAUCAUGUCGAUUGUUAUUAUAUAGAGUUAAUGUUUUGAGAGAAAAAUAAAAAAAAAUUAUGAAAUAUUUCAUUAAUCUUCAUGAUCUAUUUGGGUAAAUUAUCGGGCUUUGUUUAUUUCAUGUUCUUAAGAUUUAUUGAUGAUUAUUGAAUCGAGUUUAAAGGCUGAAUGUGGGGAUUUGAGUUUUUAAAGAUUGAAGGAGAAAUUAUGUUUUUUGAUGAGAUACUAUGAUAUGCAAUAGUGAAUUAAAAUAGAAUUCUAUAUUAACGGAUAGAUUAUUGCUAUGGUUAUUAUAUAUCAUUGGAAAGCAUGUUGAAUCUACUUUCUAAUGAAAUAAACAAAAGUCAAAUCCAAGUUUUCUAUGAAGAGUUGUCUAAUUUUUACUUAAGGAUAUAUAGGUUGUAAAAUAGCAGCAUCAGGGUUGAAUUACGAAAAUUAUUUUAAUUUUUAUACAAGGAAUUACAGAUUAAGCCAUAUACUUUUGGAAAGCCUAUUGAGUUACUUUUCAACAAAACAAGCGGAAUUGAAUUUGGAGUUUCCUAUGAAUAAAUGUGUAAUUUUUAUUAGAAGGUAUAUAUGCUGUCUGGCAGCAGCAUAUGACGUGGUUGCAAAAAUUAUUAUAAUUAAUCUACAAGGAAUUACGAGGUGGGCCAUAUAUGGUUAGAAAGCUUAUCAAGUUUAGGUUCUAACGCAUUAAAGAGAUCUUAAUUCUGAUUUGGAUAUAUUGAGAUAUGAUCAUUUUAAUGAAAAGAGGUCAGGCUACCAGUAUUAGUUAGUUGAGUUAACUUUUGUUUAACUUAAUUAUUUUUGGUAUCAUUAGUCUUGAAAUGGGUUGAUUAAUUUCUAUUAUGUUGAAAUUAUCUUGAAUAGGCCAUUAAUUAUUUUGGGGGAAAAACUAGGUGAUGAAAUCGAAACUAGGUAAGUGGAAUCUCAUACACUUUGCUUGUUUUUGAAUCUAUGUAUAUAUGUAUGCUUCUAAAUGAAUGAAUAUUUUAUUUCUUUAUUUUCGAUGUAUGAAAAUAAGAUCAAGCAUAUGAUUAUUUUGCAUUUCUCUAUAUAAACAAUGGAUCAUGCUUAUUGAUGAAAUGAGAGAAUAAUUUAUAUUUAAAGAACGAUUUUAUAAUAGCUAUGUUUUUACAUCACCAGGAAGUGGGAUCAUCGACAACAGAAUUAGUUCUACGGCCCUGGCUAACAGAUUAUAGUAGUUAGUAUAGACAUGAUCAUACGGCCCUACUAACAGGUUAUAGUGGUUAGCGUAAGGCCCUGGUUAGCGGGUUAUAAUAGUUAGCAAUGAUCAUGAAGAUAAAAUUAUUGAUACGGCUAAUAUCACGUGUUAUAGCAGUGACCAUAGCUAACGAUAAACAAAUGAUAAUAAUGAUUUAUGAUGAUGAUGAUUUAUGAUGAUUUUAAAGAUUGAUCCAUGAUUUGUAUGAAAUAUGUAUUUAACUGUAAUUUAUAAUUCAUAAUUAAUGAAUUGACAUGUUUUGAUAUUGAUUUAUGAUCUACGAAAUGUUUGACAUAAUGAUGAUUUUUAAAAUAUUUUGACAUUAUAAAUUGAUGAAUAUUUUGAAUGAUCUAUAUGAUAUGUAUAAAAAUAAUGCUAGAUCUGAUAAGGUAUGUGAGCCUAUACUUGCUGAGCUAUAGUUUGCUCAUUCUCCUUUUACUUUUUCUUUACAGAUCAGUAAAUGAUAAGUUUGCUUAGUUUUGUAAAAAGCUAGAAGAUCAAAUGGGGAAGAUUACUUAGUCGUCAAAAAUAAUGUUGGCCAAUGAGAUCUUAUGAAACGAUUUUGUAUUUUUAUAUGAUUUGUAUUUGGAUAUACAGAGAUAUAUCAUUAGUUAGAUUAAAUAUAUGAAUUUUACUUGACAGACUAUAUCAAUUUAUUGAUAAAUUUUGGAAUGAUUAAGAAAGAAAGCUUCGUAUUAUAUUAAGGUUUACUUCAAAGUAAUAUAGUUGUAUUGCGUCUUGAUCUUGGGACGUGCCAAAAAGGAUAAAAGGAAUGUUGAAAACAACCGAUGAAAGAUUAUGUGAGAAAUCACAACAAAUUGUUUGGUGUGUAAAUGGAUGUCGAAUUUUCAAUAAAGACGAGAUAAAGUUUAUCCACGUUUCUUUAAAUAAAAUUUACUAAAUAUAUGUUUGCUAAUAUAUUUCAUGGUAUUAAAAAUUUAUUGAAUGAUUUAAAUCUAAUUAUGAUGUUGUUAAAAUUGUCAUAAAUUACUAAGUAAUUUUGUUAUAUGCGUAUUGUUUAAGAUUAUUGUAUUUUCUUGCAUUGAUAAUUGAUGGUGUAGUGCAUAUGACAAAUUGCUAAGUGAUUUUGUCUUGUCAUUAAUUAUGAUUUUGAUAUAUAAAUGUUCUAAAAAUUAUUUAAAAAUAUUUCGAAGCUGUUUGGUGCAAAUAUGCAUAUUUCUAAUGAUUUAUAAACUAAUUAGAAAGGACAAGAUAAAUUAUAUUGAUAAAUAUAUUGUGAUCAAGGAUUUAAGUUACAAUCACAACAAUGUUUUCAGUUGCGUCAAAUUUAUUGCUGUUACGGACAUAGCAAAUAAAAUGACAGUAAUUAAGUUCAUUGCAGUCGUGAAUUUUUUUUGAAUUUUGCACAACUUAUUAUAAAAUGAAGUAAAUAAAAAUUGUAAGCAUAAUAACAUUUAUUUAUAAUAUUUAAAUUAAUUCAUGAUAUUUUAUUCUUUUUUUAUAUGUUAAAACAAAUAAUUUACAUUUUUUAGUUAUGACUUAUAAAUCAAUGUGUAUAUAAUAUGUGUAUAUAAAAUGUGGUUCAUUAAUACAUCUAUAAAUUUUAUGGACAUAAAUGCUGUAAAUGCAUACGAUUGACGAAAUAUCAUUAUGAAGUUAAUGUUAUAAAUCAAUCUAAUUAGAAAAUUAAUAAUGAACAUUUAAAAUAUGUUUAUAAGAUAAUUAUUAUGGCAAAGGAAUUAAAAUCUAAUUCUUUGAGCAUAGAUAUAUUCUCUUUACCUUUAAAUUAAAUACACAAAUGCAACAAUUUGAAUAAUUAAUUGAUAAAAAAAUGUAAUACGUAAUUAGUAACCUAACCAUAAUCAAACUCACAAAGAAACUAUAUUAACAAUAACAUUAUAAUAUCAAAAUUAUAUAAAAACUUAAUUCUUUGUAAAUGAUUGUACAUGUAUUAAACCACAAAAUAAAUUAAAUUUACUAAGAAAAACCAACAUCCUUCUAUAAUUUUGAUCUAAAUCAUAAAAAUUCUCAUAUUCCCAUUUUCACCAAUAAUUUAUUUCUCCGUAUCAAAAUUUCACCUACAUAAGUAAAACAAAAAUUAAUUUUGAAAGUUAGUGUUGGCCUUCCAAAUACCUCAUCCUAACCAUAUUCUCUUUUGUAAAUUAAUUUGGAUGCAUGUGACAUAAGUAUUCUAAAUUCCCCACCCCACUCUAUCCUAGUCCAUUCUUUAUUUCUCCUCUCUCCUUCUCCUGUAUUUUCACCAUCUUCCCCAACCCAUAACAAAGCAUUGGGUCCCCAAGAUCCAACACAUCUAAUCAUCAUAAUGCCUUGCCUAGAAUCCAAACCCUCAUAGCCUUUCCUCAAAGGAUUUUCAACACUAAUUGUUUAUCCAUCCUUAUAUAAGAAAAUGAAAGCAACACACACUUGAAGCAGAUGGGCAUGAAAGGUAACUCUUUCUCCAAACCAUCAACAACUUAGAUUUAAAAAGUGUGAAGAAAAAUGGGUAUUUGUUUCUUACAUGAAUUAAUUUUGUAUUUUGAGGUUUAAAUUUGUUGCAUUUUGGUUGAAUUGUUUGUAGCUGGGCUAAGGAUUUUCUCUAUUUUGAUAUAAUUUGUUGUUUGAUUUGAUUUUAAUAAAUAAACAAAUAACAGCUAUAGUGGGAUGUUAAAGCUAUUAUUUGCCACUAUGCCUUUAUUUACGACCACAAAAUGCCGCUUUGUGCAUGAAUGCUAUCAUAACGUAUUGAUUUGAGGACUCGAUCGCUACAUGUAAAAAGUUAAGAGUUGCCACUUAUCUUUUUUGCUGAUGUGCGAUUGACCACCAAUCCUAUAUUUUAGUCUAUGAAUUUGAGGUUGGGUUCGAAAGUAUGGUUACACGUGAGAAAUAUUAUAACACACCUUAGUGCCCAUCCGAAUAUGGUACCAAUAAUUCUUAUAAAGGCCCUAAAAAUAGUCUUGUUUGAAUAGUCUUACUUAAUAUUUCAUUUUAUUUAUUAUAUUUUUAUUAUUGAGAAUUUUCUAAACUAUUCCUGACACUUUUGGUACAAUUUAAGAAAUCCUUUCACCUCAAAAAUAUUCAAAGAAAUCACUUAUUUUCUUAAAGAGGCUAUAUCGUCAGAUUUAAUUUAAUAUUUUGAAAAUGAAGUAGAUUAUAAUUUCCUUAUACUGACACUUAUGUUAUGAUUUUAAAAAUUUGGAGGAAAAUCACCACUUACAAUUCUCUCUUUAUUUUAUUAUCGAUGAAAGUUUUAAUUUACUUUGGAACGUUUAUUUGUUGUUUAUUUUUAUUAUUAAUGUAAAAAAAAAAUUUAUUAGAAAAAUUUUCAAAAUAUUUUCAACACUUUUCGAAUAUUUUGAGAAAAUUGUUUGCCUAAAAAAUUUUAAUAAAGUCACCACUCAUUACUUUUAUUCUUGUAAAAUUUUACUUACUUUAACAAUUUAAAUAUUUUAUAUUUUAUUAAUUUUUUAUUAAAAAUAUUUUCAAAUAAUCUUACCAACACUUUUGACAAAAUUUUGAAAAAAAAAAUACUUUUUUAUAAAUCACCACUUGUAAUUUUAUUACUAUUGUUAUUUUUUCUGUAUUUAUUUAACUCUUGCUAUUUACUCGAAGUGAUUAUUAUUAUUAUUAUUAUUAUUAUUAUUAUUAUUAUGAAAAAUUCUCAAAUAUUUUCAACAAUUUUGGACUAUUUUAGAAAUUUUCUUUGUAUGAAAAAUCACCAUUUGUAAUUUUAUUUUUAUUUUCAUUUAAUUUUUUAUGCUUGAAAAUUUCUAAAAUAAUUUAAACAUUUUUAGAAUAUUUUAAAAAAAAUUUCUUUGUGAAUAUUUUUAAUAAAAUCACCAUUUGUGACUUUAUUGUUAUUUUAUUAUUUUAUUUAUUAUUUUAUUUGUCUUUUUUAUAUUUUUUCUUUAUUCUUGUUCAUUAACAUUUUAAUUUUCAUUAUUUCAUUUUAUUAUUAUUUUUUAAAUUAUUUAAGAGAAAAUUAAGAUUUUGAAUUUUCUUAAGUUUAUUUUUUAGUAAUUAUUUUAAAUUAAUUUUUAAUAAAAAUAUUUUAUACUUUCUACCAUUUAUUUUAUUUUUUCAUCAAAAGUUUAUACAAAAAUAAAAUAAAAUAUAUUAGGAUGAAAAUACUUAAAAUGCCCUUGGUCAACCUUGGUUAAAUGACGGUUCAAAUGGCUCAAUCAAUUGGUUCAGUUGAAUCGAUUAGUAGGGAAAAAAACUAAGGUGCAGGUCAUGUGUGUGAAUCCCAAGUUGAAUUACGUUUAUGCACAGAUCUUCCUUGGAAAAAUGAUGCGUUUUGUUAGGCUAUAAAUAACCCAAAUCUUUUUUUUUUUUUCAUUUUUCUCUUUUUUCUUUCUUUCUCUCUCUCUUCCCCUAUAUUCUCUCUCUUUUUCUCUUUAAGCUAGACAAAAAAUUUAACCAAACCCAAAGUCUGACAGGUUUUCUAGAAAUCGAUGGCCAAAAAUUUCAAUAGUCAUCGAAAAAUUCAAAGAAACCCACAUUUCGACUUGAAACCUAGAUUUUGGUGACCGAAAAAUGCAAAUUUUCCCAAUUUCUAGUGAGGCCAAAUUUUUUUUUUUUUUAAAUCUCAAAAUUUUCUAAAAUGAUCCUUUUAUACUCCUCUACACUUUCCUAAAAUGAUUUUUCCAAAAAAACUCCAAGCUUCCCAAAUUGAGGUUUUUAUUUUUGGUUGAAAAUUUUUUUUUGUUGCUUUUGUUGGUUGUUUUGUUUUGUUUUGUUUUCUAGGUUUGUGUGGAGUUGUUGUUGUGGGUUUUUUUUUUUUCUUUUUUGUGACAAGUGAAUCGGCACUUAAUAGAGGCAAUGUUGAUUUUUUCAAAACAAUUUAUGACCUUCAAGUUCCCCCCAUUCUCCACCACUAUGCUAUGCGUAUUAGAUAUAUAGAGCUUGCAUAGGAAUUCAAAUCCCAAAAAAAUAUGGGAUUAAAGGAUUUUUUUUUUCAAAGUCAUGCCACCAAAAGUUUUGCUACAACUUUUUGAUAAAAUUUUGACAAAAUUUGCAUUGGUAGGUGUAAAUUUGGGGUGGCAAAUGGUUAGAGCUUAACUUUAGUUCUAAUCAAUUUUUACAACAUAUCUUUUUGAUUGAUUUUGAUUUUUUUCUUUUUUGGACUUUUUAUAUAAUAAUAAUAAUAAUAAUAAUAAUAAUAAUAAUAAUAAUAAUAAUAAUUGAACUCAAUAUAUAAUAUAUGUGAUCAAAAUUCCAAUUGAAUUUAAAUUGGAUACGAAUGCAAUUUGGGUCAAUUUCAAUUAAUCCAGAUAGAAUUAAGUGUCUACAGCUGCCCCUCUUUACAUAUUACUGAAAAUCAGUAAUAAGGCAAAGACCAAAAAACAAUAAUUUUGUUUGUAUAAGCAUAUACAGAAAAAAAUUUUAAUUAAAAAAAUUUUUUGUUAAAUUUUUUUUGAAUUCAAAUCUAAAAGCUUUUAUAAUUAGAUGCUCAACAAAAAUAAAUUAAAAUGAAAGCAUAUAUUUCAACAUAAAAAAAUAACUUCAGAUAUCACUACUAAAAGAAACUCGAAUAUCACCACUGAAAAAAUGUAAAUGACUUAAAAUAUCAUCAUUGAAAGGAAACUCGAAUAUCACCAUCGAGAAAUAUAUAAAUGUCUUCGAAUAUUGCCACCAAAAAAGACUCGAAUAUCAAUAUCGAGUGAUUUUACAAAUAACUUCAGAUAUUGCCACUGAAGGGAACUUGGAUAUCAGCAAGAAAAUGAACUUCAAGCUUUAACACUUGGAUAUCACCACCAAGAAAAUGCAAUUUAAAAUUUUAACGAUCGAAUAUUACCACCAAGAAAAUGCAAUUGAGACUUUUAAUACUUGGAUAUCAUCAUCGAGUGAUUUUGAAAAUGGGCUCGGAUAUCACCACCGAAUACUUUGAAAAUAAUUUAUCACAACAUCUUUUUUUACUUAUGCCAAUUCACUGGGUUUACAACUUCCAUGCCAACUAGAUUAGGCUUAAAGCUCUCAUCUUGUGCCAUCUUAUUAAAAUUCUUAAAAAAAUUUUAUCUUUAGAAUAUGUUUUUGCCUCUUUCUUUUCUUUUUUCUUCUUUAAUGAUUCUAAAAUUGGCCAAUACCACUACAAUGCAAAUGUCUUCUCUUAAAGUGAUGAUGCAAAUGAAAUGGAAAUGUCUUUUACAAAAAGGUCAAUGCAUGCAUCCCUAUCAAUGAUGGACAAGUUAAUUAUGCAAAAGCAAAGUCAAAAGAUACAAAUGUUCAAAUUUUUUUUUUAAAAAAAAAAACCAAGUCAAAAUAUGCAAAUGCCAAAAAUAUUUUUUUCUUAAAUUUUUCGAAGUUCUUUUUCUUUCAAUCCUGAAUCUUUCAUCUCAAUACAAUUCCAAAUCCUUUCUUUACUACUCAUUUUUCUUCAAUUUUUGCUUUUUUUUUUUUCACAAUUUGGACUUUUCGACUUUCGUUUCCAUUUUUCAGAUCAAAUAUGCAUAUGAUCAACUUGAACUUAAUGAAAAAGAAUUGAAGAAAACAAACCAUUGAACUGUGGUGAAACUCAAUUUAUUAAACAUACUUUGGCAUUAAAAUAUGUUUCCCAUGGUGCCACUUAUUUCCUGAAAAUCAUUUAUUUUUUUAAAAUUUUAUUUUCCUUCCCUAAAAACAUUUUAUUUCAAUGAAAAAAUUGUCACAAAAAAAUGCUUUAGUAAACUUUAUGAGAAAUGUGACUCUUAAGUUUUUAAACACAAUGGUGAUCAUUAUUAUGCAUAUGUCUAAACAGGAUGGCUAUUCCAUCUUUUCGAAUGGCUUAAAUGGUUAAUUGUUAGAUUGAGGUCUUGAUUAUAAAAAGGGACCUCAUGACUUGAUGGGGGAAAUUGAAUUUCUAUUUAUCUAGGCUCUACAAUAAAUUUCUUUGGAAGGUUCUUUUGAGGUACAAUUAGAUUUGACAUCCUUGUUAGUAUCACAAUGUGGUAUUUUAAUAGAUGUCAAUACCAGUUAUGGUAAAUUCAAAGUCAUAUUGGAAAAGGCCAGGAUUUUUUAUGAUAACCCUUGCACACAUCUCAAUCAUUGGUUGCAAUGAGUUUUCAUGUUACCAUCUCAAUCGCGCUCUAGACUGCCCAUUUUUUAGUUUUUACUUGAGUUUUAUUAUUUCAUUUUUCAUUCUUUUUAGUUUUUUAUUUUUUUGACAAUUUCAUCGUGCACUUAAGUACUCUUGUGAAAGAGAAAAUUUUGCAAAGAAAAUAGGCAAAAGCAAAAUUGGUUAUGAGGAUUCUACAAGGAAUAAAUUUUUCAGUUCAAGUAUCCAUGUUUAAUCAAAAUGAACUUUUCAAGGUAUGUAACAUAGGUCAGGGUUCAAGGUUCUAAAAGAAUGGGUAAAUGGCACAAAACAUGUGUUUGAAGUUGAUCAGACCAAUGAUCAUUUCAUAUCAUGUGAAAGACUUUUUUUGGGCAUUCAUCCCUUUUGUUUCUUUAGUUGUAACAUCCCAUCAUCUCUUUUCUUCUUCCCUCAUUUUUUUCUCUUUUUUUUUUUUGUUUUGUUUUUGUACCAUUCCCACUUUUGCUUUUUUUUUGCCUAUUUCAACUUUUGCUGAAAUAUGUUUAAAACUUCUAAAACUUAAUUUAUUUUACAUUUGCCUCUACAACAUAAGGCAUUCUUACUUUAUUAUUAAAGCAUGACUUCAUCAAAUAGAUCUUUCUUUGUAUUUUUUUUUCUAAUGUAGAAAAUGAUCCUCGGUUAAGGUUUAUUUAGAAAGAAUUCGCUAGGCUUAAAGGGGUAGCAAAUGGAUAUUUUCUUUUUUAUGAAAGGAUGAAGAAAAAUGAUCAUUUGUCAUUUCAAGUUAGGUCACUUAUGAUGAAGAGUGAUUUCUUGAAAAACCUAAAUUUUGUUUUUAUCACAUUUUUUUAUCAUUUUUUUGUUUUUUUUAUCAUGUUCUAUUUUUGAGAUCAUUUAAAUAUCUAAAGUGCAUGAUGUAACCAUCGACCUUUUUUUUUCUUCUUGUUUUCACAACACAUAUGACAACCAAUUUUUGUCCUAUCUUAAUAAGCCAACAAAGUUUAUGUGGCAAUGAAAAUCAUGUUAAAAGGGUUUAUUUAGGCCUUGAUUGCACACAUCAUCACCAAAUUAGAUAGUGGUAUGAACUAGGUAAUCUUGGGAUAAUAGGAAAUCAUGUUUUUCUGUCAAUAUCCCCCUAGAUAUAAAAAUGGUGCAUUUAUAUAUGACUUUGUGUUUGAAGCAUAAUUUUGACAUCUACCAAAUCACCAACUUUCAAAUAAAAAAAGCAUCAUAUUUACCUGAUUUUAAAAAAAAUUAGAAGGUUUUUCCAAAUUGAUCAUUUCAAUGUUUGUUGCCUUGAUGAGAUGUCACAAAGUUUAAACUUGUAUCAUUUAGAGCAUUAAGGUUUUUUUAAGUGGUUUGGGACAUGGAAAAGACACGAAAAUAUUUUAUUUGGAUAGAUUCAUAAUAACAACGAUUAAUUUUUUUGAGAGUUUUUAUUAUGAAAAGAAAAUAAUUUAAAAAAAUUGAGACAAAAAAAUGGAAAAAAAUUCUCUUAAUUAGAAUUCAAAUUCAAACUUUCAUACAAGUAAUGAAGUUUAUAUGUAUGUCCAAUACAGAAGUGAAAGAUUAAAAAGGAAAUAAAUGGGUCAUUUUUUUUUUAUUUUGAAUCAAUCAAUCACUUUGCAACACUGAAUGAAGUGUCCACCAUUUCCCCACAAAAGCACAUAGAACCAUUCUCCAAUUCCUCUUCUAACCAUUACAUCAAAAUUAUUCAUAUCGAUGCUCUAACACUUUUGGUUCACUUUUUUUCUAAUAUAUCAAGGUAAAGAGUGUUCAAUGACAUGAUGAUCUAUCUUCGUUCCAAAUUCUAUUUUCCUGGCUUUAAUGAGAUCUCUAACUUUGUAUUUCAGUGCAGGGCAGUUCUAUGUUAAGUGGCCUUGAUUUUUACUAUAGUAAUCACAUUUUGCAUUAGGAUCAUACAAUUUUGUGUAAAGGAGUUGAAGGGGUUCUAGACACAUAGGUUUCAAAAGUUGAUUUUGGAUAAAUUGGGUAACAAUUCUUUGUAAGAUAUGGGAAUAAAGUCGACAUGAUUCUUUUUUUUUAUUGCUUUACAGCCCUUUUAUGUUAUUUCUCAAAGGAUCUGAUUAAUUGGUUGGUUGGGGCGUAGGUGCAAGUGUUUUAAGUUGAAAGCUUAAUUGAACCCCUAAUUGAUUCGAGUAAAGAUUUGGUGAGAUAUUAUUUAUGGGAGGGUAGUAAGGGUGGUAAAUUGAGUGAAGAUAAUACAAGACAAAACCACUACCUUAUUGUUCCUCAUGAGAUACAGUUUGCACAUCUUUUUCUUUUUUGGAUGCCUUAUCUUUCUUUGUAUCUUUGCCAUCAAUUUUUUCACUCUUGAUCAUAUUUUCAAUUAUCUCUCCAGAAAUUAUCAUAUUCGUAAAAUUUUUUAUGACAUUCUCAAUCAUCUUAUCAUAAUAAGGUGUUUGAAAAGUGUUAACAAGCAAAACAAUUAUUUCUUUCUCUAUGAGCGGUGGCUGAAUUUGAGCAACCAUAUCUUUCAUCUUUAAACAUAUUUUUUAAAGCUUUUAAUAGCUUUUUUCUCCAUAUUUUGAAAUGAUAGACAAUCAGGGGUUAAUUCUACAAUAUGCAUGUAUUGGGUUACAAAUGCCCUAACUAGUUCAUUCCACGAAGUGAUGCGAGUUCUGUCUAUUUAAGUAUACCACUUAGCAGAGACCUUGUAAAAGUGUCUUAGAAUACAUAGUUAAGAGCCUGUCAUCACGAACAUGGGCAGCAAUUUUCCUGCAAUAUAUAAUGACAUGAGUCAUUAGGCAUUUAGUGCCAUCAUACUUUUCAAAUUCUGAGACCUUGAAUUUGGCAAAACAAUCACAUUUGGCACCAAACAAAGCUUCGAUGGAUCUAUAGAUCAUAAAAAUCUAUUUUCUCAAUAACUUGAAGCUUUUCCUCUAUGAAAUCCAUCUUCUUUUGGGUGCUUGAAUUUUCUAUUGCUUCAAAUGAAGUUUCUUUCAAUUUUUUUAGCUUUUCAAGAUAGUCAGGGAUUUGAAUUGGAUCAGAUUUAUAUCCAGGAAUAAUAUGUCCUUGGGACUGUCCUUAUGUAGCUGCUAAAGAUAUUCCAAAAUGAAAGUAUACCCUAAAAAGUGGGUUUUGUUGUGAUUUUAUUCCUUAGGAUACCUGGAUUUGAUGUGAACCAAACCCAGCAAGAUGUAAGGAAUUUUUUUUCUUCGAUCAUGGGCUUCCUCCACUUCUCCACUUAAAAUUUUCAAAAUUCUCUAAUUAUCUGGGCCACGUAUCCUCUCAUUUUAUCUUAAGUUUUCUCAAAUUUCUCAAUUCGGCUAUUUUGUUCUUAUUCCAUGGGUAUUAGAUAAGUGGCAAGUAAAUUUCUUUGAAAGUUUUAAUGAUCAGGUCCUUGAAGCAUUAUUACCACAAUUAAGAAUUAGGAUGACAGGUAGCUACAAAUUUAUGAAAAUAAAAAAGAUUUAUGUGAAUAAAUGGAUAGAUGCAUGCGUUGAAUGUUAUAAAAUAAAAAAGCUUUUAAAACUUAAAAAUCAUCCUAACAACAAGAAUCUCCAAAUAACAUUCCUAAAUAAUUCUAAAAUCUAUUGCCUAGUCCUAUAUUUAACUUCAGGAUCAUGGUAUUGCUAUUGAUAGGUUUUUCAACAGAUACAAUUAGGCAAUGAACUUUUAACAAUCUUAAGCUUCCUUCAUUCUCGAAACUUAACUGACCAAUUUUGAUUAAACCUUAUACUUUAUGUUUGAAAGCAAGGCAGUUUUCUAUUGAAUGAUAUGCAUUUCCAUAAUGAUAAUCACAUCGAGUAUCAGUAUCAUAUCACUUAAGAUAAAGAGAUUUUAAUGGCUUUAGAGGAAAUGGUAUGAUCAUAUGGUUUUUAAAGAGUUGUAGGAAUACCUUAGUGUAAGUCAAAGGAAUUGGAUUAAUGAUGGCUCUUUCUUUCCUUUUACUCAAUGAUUUUUUAGGUUGAGUAGUUGUUUGUCUCACCAGUGCGGGCCUUGGAUUAGAAUUAAGUGUAUACGCCUAAUUGGUUCAUUAGGAAACUUGGUUGCUAUAUGAAUUAAUAAGCACUAGGGUUUUGAGAUACACUGCUCAUAAUUGAGAAAUAGUAUAGAUUUGGAUUGAUUUAUAGGGGUUGAAAGGGAGCAGGUUUUGUUUGGGCUAUCAAAAACGAUUGUUGAGUUAACCAACUAGACAUUUUUUUUAGAGUAUACUAGGGAUACUACUGGAGAUGGGAACUUACCAACAGGAGUCAAUCUCCAAGAGGUAGCCGAACGUCUUUUUUUUAUCGACGAAAGCAUUCAAUGGAUAAACCAGAUCUAUUUAGACCUCGUCAAUCAGGGCACGCAGAGUCCCCACUUUGCCCAAGCUCUGGAUUCUGUUCUGCAUUUCGGAGGUAUGUAGUUAGGAUUUGUUUUAUAGGCUUUAUCAUAUUUAGUCAAAAGAGUUUAGGUAAGACUUUCAAAGUGACUUCUGCAUGAGGGGACUUGCUGCCCUAGAACAAUUACAACCAACAAACAAAGGAACUCGAGACUUGGAGUAUAAAGUAAAGAGGAAGCCCUAUCGCCCGGGUUUAACAAAUGGUGGGCCACAAAAGGUUCUUCGUCCUUCUUGACUCCCUUGACAAGCUGCAAGGCGGAUAAAGUGGGCACACUAGUUUUCACAUUACCACUUGGAAUCAUGCCUGGUCUUCCUUCAUCCAUGAUGCCUAAGGUGCCCAAGUAUGUCUUGUGUACGGCUUUUCUCAAAGUCGUUCUAGUUUUCGAUCUUAGGGGAGGGGUCCGUGGUCUUUUCGGUCCUAGAAAGUGUGCCGUGCUUUCAAGGAGUCGCGGAAUCGGGUUGAAGUCAAAGCAUGAUCUACAAUUGGACUUGUCCCCAUCGGUUCUAUGUGAAUUGUUGCCAAUUCUUUCUUACCACAGGAAUCAGGAGAAAGAACGAAAGUCCUUUCCUUAAAAAAGUCAAUUUCGGCUCAGUGGACUCUAUAUCUAGGAUAAGCAUUCGAUUGGCCUACAAGAACUACAAUCACCACAAGGCGCCUAUUUCUUUGCUUUGAAAUACUGUAAAUCCUUGUUCUCCCUUUAAGGCCUGGAUCUUUCUUUCUUUGUCUCCUUCUACUUGGAUUGUAUUUUCCCUUUCUUUAUUUUACUUUGCUUAUUAGCUGACUCCUCUUCUCUUACCCCUACCAUCUUCACUCCGGGGGGAGAGGAGAUGAGGAAGCCCUACCAUCAGUGCUAUUUCCCCGGCUAAAUGUACUCUAAGUCUUCGCUUCGCACCUUGUCUUUCUUAUUGCUUGAAGAUAACUUGAAAGUUUGCACUCUAUGGAGAAUCUCUUUUGUUAUGCACCUAAUACAAGAUCAAUCAAGUCUCUCUUUGAUUCCACUACUGCUAGUGUUGAAGGGCUAUACCCGAACUGACUCUCGGGGAGAGGAAGGAGCGUAAGAGUACAGUCAGACAGUAAUCGCCACUCGAGGAAGUUACUAAUAUGUUCUUUUAAAACCGCACGUAUAAAUAGCAGUAGCUUUAGCAGAUCGAGUAGGAAGAGGCCCAAUAGACUGACAUUAGUGGGUUUAGUGGCUUCUUUAGCGAUUGCGCAUUGCCGUGCUGUCUUUAAUAAGAAUUUAGUACUCUUAGGCAUGAGAGGAAGAAAGCAUACAGCGCAUUUGCUACCACAGCGGAUCUGCGACAUAAAGCUUCUUUUCCUUUCUCUACCCAUAUUAGAAUAAAGCUAAUCUGCGACAGCGCAUCUGCGAUAGCUUGCAAGAGUCUCUUUCAUACGUGUUCUCUAUCAAAAGGAUCGACCUCUCUCGCGCAAAGGAAGAAAGUUGGUGCGUACAUUCUCAUAGGUUUUUCUCUCACGACCCACCUAGCCACUCUGAAUGAAUAUUACGUCAAUAAAGGUCAUAGUUCUUUCCGUUUUGCUUUUAACACGAAGCUAAGGCAGCGAUACAAACCUCCCAAUCCUAGUGUCAAUUGAACUUUUACCUUCGUGAUUGCUUGUAUCAUAAGAAAUAGAGCUUUUAGUUGGACAAUGAAAGUCGAUUGCAUAUCCUGUAAGAGAAAGAAGGAUAUUAGAAAUAGUUGGCUAGCAACAAUCAAUGCUGUUCACCAUCCCCAUGCCUUUCUCUAGAGUAGUCUAGUCCUUGUUUUCACUAACGAAUGCAGCUGGCUAGUCAAAGCUAAAUCACGGGAACCGCUUUCGCACAAUCAAGCCUGGUCAAAAGAAAGCUCUUUCAAGUUCGCUUUUUCUGGCAACUUCGAUCAAUAUCAUAUACAAGUUAGGUUAAUCUACCUUUCCUUCAAGUGCAGGAACAAAUCCUUUAAUUCUUUGAUCUCGACCGACUAAAUCAAUCAAUAGCAGAAGUUUUUUUCUUUCGAUUAAGCUUUUCUUAGCCUGUAGCCUUUGAUAAGGAUGAACUGGAUCAUCUGACAAGAAAGCUAGGGAGUUUGAAAGUUCUUUUCUUUCCUCGAGUCUUUCCCCUUUUGAGAAAACAAGAUUAGGAUCUAAGUUUGGUGGAGUUAAAACUAAUACCUUUUUUUGCGUACCUUAAGCUUAUAACCUUUUUCAUAUAAAAAAAGCAGUCAUAAAAUCUAGAAUUUUUUUAGACAAAACCCAUUGAUAAGGGGAAUCUUACAAUGUUGAAUCCCUUUAUUACCAACUUUAGCCCUUCCUUCGCCUCUUCUUCUUUUUGUGCCACAUUCAAGCAGUAAGAAGGACUAGCUUAGCUUUCCCUUAUUUAUGGAAUGGGAUUGAUGCUAAGAAAUCCCUUACUAAUCGAAAGAGGGGAUUCAAAAGUGUCUAUUCUAUCUUCCAAGGUACGAAAGGCAAAGGAGACUGAGGAAAGAAAGAGCAGCUAUUGAAUCCGUUCAUAUCCGAUGGGUAUGAGUACUGGCUUCCAGCCUAGGCACUCUGGGAUGAAUUAUCAGUGCGAUAAGGUCUUGCAAAGCCUAUCAAGUAAAGGUAAGGUCUAUUUCUUAGUUAUUCAUUCUCUAUCCUUUUCAGUCUUUUUGUUUUGCUCCAGUAGCCUGUUGAUUAGAAGUUUCAAGCCAAUUUUCAAGCUAGUUAAAGAAAGAGUAUCCUGUCCUGCGAUAGGACUUGUAGCUCACAAAAAAUCUCCAAUGAUUGCUUCCGUUUUGUUCCAAUAUGCAUAUAAACCUUUAGCCUAGUUAUUGAAUUCAUGAUCUGGCCUGGUUGAUUAAGUCUAGUUUAGGUGAGUUUGUACGUCAGCGAGUUUAAAGCAAGUUCUCUCAACGAGGAUGUAGAUUAAGGGUAUGCCCGAGUGUGAGAAAGCUUCGCUCUAAGGCCUGUGUCCUAGAGAAAAUAUCCCUUUCAAAGCUACAGGAAGGGUUUGGCCUAAUGUUGUGAGUUAUCUCAGCCAGUCGCAAUCUUGGUUUCAAGUCUGGGUUAGGAUAAAAAGUGAGGUAUGGAAUACAUACUAUACGGGGUUAAGAUAGCUGGGAUUCUCACUUGACUCCGAUAGCAAAUGAACAACCCCUAGAUUCAACAAGUGAAUCUAAGCCGGUGUCAACAUAUACCACAUGAUAUGCGUGUCAGCAAUAGCGAUCGAUCUCUCAUGAAGGGCAUUCCUCAUCUCCGUCAACAUAGGUUCUUAACCCUCUCUAACCCAGAUGAGCUUAUGCCAGUCAACAGCAGCAGCUUCAUGUCUAACAAUAUUCUAAGCACUAAAGAUUGAGAACUUCCCAUUCCAUUGCUAGACUGAGUCCAGAUGACUUUCAUCUUUCUAAGUUGGAUUAGGAAUAAUAGCAUCACAUAAGGAGCACUGAGUCUCUACUAGAUCAUCUAAUCUAGUUGGAGGCCAAACCAAACCUGCAGCAUUAAUGACAGCUGCCCCUUUUGCUUGAAAAGGAAGAACAGAGUCAUAAACAACUGUGAAAUUAUAGUGUAUAAGCAAAAAAGGCCCGUUAUGAUGGCAGUUAUGAAACCAAAAAUCUGUGGAUUUUCCAUUAUCUGUUAUGUUUUGCACAUAUGGUUUGAUAUAGUUUCUUACUUCAAGAUUUCUUCCACUCCCAUGAGCAAUCACUAGACAGGGCAAUAGAUCACAGACUUCUGCCUUUCGGUGCAUAGGUUUGAUCCAAACAACCCAUAGAUCUUGAUUGAAUAAGAAUAGCCCAAUGCUUUUCAUCACAUAGGCUUUAUUCUAAUCAGACAUCUUCUUGAUGCCUAAACCCCCUUCAUUCUUUGGAUGGCAAACUCAGUCCCAGCUGACUCUAGUUCUUGUAGCAUUUCUAUCUUUGCCUUUCCAUCAGAAAGUAUUAGAUUUUUGCUUGAGAAGUCUAGUGACUUUCUUGGGCAGGAUAAAGACAUUACACCGAUAGUUUUGGAUGCUAAAGAGGACUGAAUUAAGAAGCUGUAAUCUGUCAGCAAAAGAUAUAUGCUUGACUAUCCAGCUCCUUAUUCUUUUCAGAACUCUAUCAAUUAGAGGUUUACACUCCUCACUGAGUCUACUAGAAAUAAGGGGCACCCCAAUAUUUUUGACUGGCAAGGAACCAAGUUUGAAUCCUGAAGUAGCCAUCAUUUGUUCAUUUAUGCCAGAACAGAACAUCUCACAUUUUGUUGGAUUAAUCUUCAACUCUAACAGCUCAUAGAAUUGAUUCAGAACAUUCUUCAAAGCUUAAACAGCUUCAAGCUCCCCUUAGUGAGCACCGUACUAGUCUCGCCUUAAGAUCAAGACGUAACACAGUCAUAUUAUCUUAAAAUAAAAUCUCAAAGUAAUAUGAAACAUUAUUUCUUAACUAUUCUAAAAUUCUUUAAUAAAAUAAUUUGUCAAGUAAAAUCUAUAUCUUUAAUCGAACUAAUGAUAUCUACAUAUCCAAAUACAAAUUAUAUAAAAUACAAAACCAUUUCAUAAAAUCUCACUGGCCAACAUUAUCUCCGACGACUAAGUAAUCUUUCUCAUAUGAUCUUCUAGUUUUUUACAAAAUUAAGCAAAUUUAUCACUUACUCAUCUGUAAAAAAAAAGUAAAAAGGAAUGAGCAAACCACCGCUCAACAAGUAUAGACUUACACACCUUAUCGGAUCAAGCAUCUUUUUCAUACAUAUCAUAUAGAUCAUUCAAAAUAUUCAUCAAAUCAUAAUGUCAAAAUAUUUCAAAGAUCAUUGUUUUGUCAUACAUUUUGCAAAUUCAUAAAUCAAUGUCAAAACAUGUCAAUUUAUAAAUCAUUGCAAAAUAUGUAAUCAUUCAAAUAUCGUAAUCAAACCAAAUCAUAGAUCAAUCAUUAAAAAUCAUUAUAAAUCAUCAUUAUCAUUCGUUUAUCAUUAGCUACGGUCACUUUUAUAAUCUGUGAUAUUGGCCGUAUCGACAAUUUCAUCCUUAUGAUCAUUGCUAACUACUAUUACCUAUUAACUAGGGUCAUAUAAUCAUGUUUUUGUUAACUACUAUUACUUGUUAGUUAGGAUCAUAGAACUAGUUCUGAUGUCGAUGAUCCCACUUCCCAGGGAUAUAAAAAUGUAGUUAUAAUAAAAUUAUUUUUUAACAUAAACCAUUUUUACAUUUCAUUCAUAAGCAUGAUCUAUCGUUUAUAUAGAGAAACACAAAAUAAUCAUAUGUUUGAUCAUAUUUUCAUACAUUGAAAAUAAUGAAAUAAAAUAUUCAUUCAUUUAGAAACAUACAUAUAUACAUAGAUUCGAAAACAAGUAAAGUAUGUGAGAUUCUACUUACCUCAUUCUGAUUUCACCACCUAGUUUUUCUUCCCAAAUAAUUAACGGCCUAUUCAAGAUAAUUUCAACAUAACAGUAAUUAAUCAACCCAUUUAAGACCACUUAUACCAAAAUAAUUAAGUUAAACAAGAAUUAACUUAAGUAACUAAUUCUAAUAGCUUACGCUUUUUUCAAUAAAAUGAUCAUAUCUCGAGAUAUGUAACUCAAAAUUAAAAUCUUUUUAAUGCAUUAGAAACUAGAUUCGAUAAGUUUUCUAACCAUAUAUGGCCCAUCUCGUGAUUCUUUGUGAAUUAAUUAUAACAAUUUUUGCAAUCCACGUCAUAUGCUGCUGUCAGACAGCCUGUAUGCCUUCUCAUAAAAAUUACGUAUUUAUUCAUAAGAAACUCCAAAUUCAAUUCCGCUUAUUUUGUUGGAAAGUAGACUCAAUAAGUUUUGCAAACAUAUAUGGCUUAAUUUGUAAAUCCUAGUAUAAAAAUUAAGACAAUUUUCGAAAUUCAACCCUGAUACUGCUACCUUACAGCCUGCAUAUCCUUAAGUAAAAAUUAAACAACUUUUCAUAGAAAACUUAGAUUCGACUUCUGUUUGUUUCAUUAGAAAGUAGAUUCGACUUCUGUUUUCCAACUAUAUAUAAUAAUCAUAGCAAUAAUGUAUCCAUUAAUACAAAAUCCUAUUUUAAUUCACUAUUGCAAAUCAUAACAUCUCAUCUAAAAAUAGAAUUUCUCCUUUAAUUUUUAAAAAUUCAAAUCCCCACUUUCAGCCUUUAAACUUCAUUCAAUAAUAAUCAAUAAAUCUUAAGGACAUGAAAUAAACAAAGUCCAGUAAUUUGCUCAAAUAGAUCAUGAAGAUUAAAGAAAGAUUUCAUAAUUUUUCUUGAUUUUUCUCUUAGAACUUUAAUAAAUUGAUGGGCUUUGGUAUUAGUCUAACAUAAUUAUCAUUUGGGCUGAGGUAUUAAAAUAAAAUCAUCAACAAAGCAUAGGUGGGUGAGGGGGCUCUUAUCACAUUAUGGGUGGUAUGGAAGAAGCCCAUGAUUCCCAUGCUUUUGAAAGUAGUCGUCUAAUCACAUUUUCUUUCAUUUUCUCGAUCUUUAUCGUUGUUUCUACAUCUUUACAACGCCAUUUUCUAUAGCCAUAGUCAAUUUUAUCGGGUGCUAGUAAGAUGGGGGAAGUGUUGUAAGGUUUUCUGCAUCUUAGCUAAUUCGUAUUCUUCACAACUGUCUUGCUUUCUCAUUUCAUUCGGAUUGUAUUUUCUUUUAUGAAAUUGAUUAUGUCUCUUGCCUUCUCAUGAGUUGGAUUCAAAGCAAUCCCUCUUUUCAAAGUGGGGUAGAAAGUCCUUUUUAAUCCUUAUUGCCCCUCGUACAAAAAAGAUUUCAUCUGCUAGGCCUCUCUUCGUUUAAGUAGUGGGCAAAUCCCUUGUUCCGUUUGAAAGAGAUUCAUCUUGACAAUAACCUUUACCCUUAUUUCAUGAGUUUAUGAGUGAAUGAGAAAAUGACUUGUAACAGUGACUCGACUGAAAGGAGAAAGAUGAAGUGAGGCUACGCUUUGCCUAAACCAAGACGGGUCUCGUAGCUGAUCCUUUGUUUGGAAAGGACUUAACCAAAGGCGCUUUUAAGCCCACCGCCUUCCUUGGUUAAACAAAGGCUAAAUGGGAACCAUUCGGAUAUUUGGUUUAGCUGGCUGAUCUUAUCAAUCCGUCACUAGAGUAACCUCUAAGAAAAGGCUAUUUAGGUGGUUGGGGUUUAGCUCAACUCGGGUAUUCUCUUUCACUCUCUACUCUCCCCUUCCCCACCCGUCUUAGUGGGUGAUUGGUAAUCUUCUUCUGUCUCUUCUUCCUUCUUCUUUCUUUGCUUUUCAGCUUCAUAAUUGGGACUUCCUCUUUCUUUCUAGUGCACUGCUUUAUUGCGCGCAUUUGGUGCGCUAUUGAAGAACAUUCCUAUAUUUUCUUUAAAUUAUCAUAUAUGAUCACAGAAAGUGCGUUGCGCAUUGGCUAGAGCAGUCAAUUCUGGGAAUUGUUUCACUAGAGCGCGCAGAGACCUAAAGUCUAUUCACGUUCUCCAGAAAAGCUAUCGCGAAACUGGCUCCAUACUUAACUUCCAAGCGCGCAGCGCAUACAAGAAGGCUGUGAUCAUGCCGGAAAUUCCACGGAUGAUGGAUGGUACAAAGUCCUCCAGCUUUUCAUACUUUUGGAGAACUUCCAGCUAUCAAGGAGACGAAAAGCUAUGUGAAGUAAAAGAGGAAAAGGUCGCCGACUGCUACUAAGAACCUAACAGAAUAGAGUGCUUAGACUGACUUGAACAGUAUCAAGGAAGAUGAAUAAUGGAAUAUAGACAAUUCGAACAUAAAUCAGAUAAAGAGCAUUUCCGAAGACAUCGAUAGGAAUUCGGAUAGUUCUCAAGUGGGCGAAAGAUGGAUGCUAGGUAGGACCAGAUUCCAUCCCAUCGGUUGAUCAAUCAAUAGAGGUAGGAAUAAACGAAUACUAACAAACAAACCGAUACAGGAUCUGCAAGACCUCCGCUACUGACUCGCAAACCGAUACAGGGAGCAAGUGCCCUAGGUAGAUGGUACGCCUCGCCUCGCUUCUUUACCCGGUGACUGAUAUAUCUAUUCAUUACUGGGCUAUUCCCACGUACUCACUGACGAACUGUACUAAUUGGCGGGUUGAUCCAGGUAGCUCAGAUCUGGGAAUGUACUACAGGGAGCAUCCUGACUAGUCUCAUCGACAUUUAAAUAAGCAUCCUGUUCCCUUCUGCUUCAGCAUAGUAUACCUAUUUUCCGAGAAGGAAGACCCUGUCCAGAAAAGUUUAUUUCCCUGCUUCCGUAUGAGUUGAGAGGAUCAGACUGACGAGGGAACCUUCUCUAGUCUAGGAGCAUUUCCACUAUGUCUGUCUUCUUUCAAUGCCCCUUCCCAAAGCAAAGCAGUAAGAAACCUAUGGCGCAUUCUUCUCUUUCAAAAAAGCUUUGGUAUUGCGCCUUUCUGUGCUCCCUUUCGCCCUUCGUUAUAUCCUUAGCUUUCCUGUAUCUCUUUCUUAACGCCUUGUGAACCGGGUUCAUACUACGAUGAGUAUACCUCGACAGGAAGACCCUCUUCCCGUGGGACUGAGUCACUCUUUUGUCUACGAACUGGUGAUCAAGAAGCUAGUCGUUCUCUAUUUUUUGCCUUUUGACCUGGGGCUUUCACCGACCGACACGAAAAUGCCCUUUACUUGACCUUAGAUAUGAUACCGACUCGAUCGACUAUCAUCAAUAAGAUCAAUAAGACAAGGUGAAUCCAUGCAAUUAGAUGUCGAGUCGAUACUCUCCGUUCGUUAGGCUUCAUUCCUCUCUAAAGGCUGUGGAAAACGCCUAUAUGGCGGACAGGACUUUGGAUGGUAUCAGAAGGUAUUGAGAGACUAGUUAUAUUCUUCACGUCGAGAUUGAUAAUAGACAAAGUGUGCCCUUACUCUAGGAAGGCUAUCUGACGUAAUUUGGCGAGGCUGGUUUGAACCUGCAUUCUUCAGAUCAUGAGCCGUAUGCGUUCACCGUUACUCUACCCCGUUUCUUCCCUUUCUUCUGUUAUGAAUAAUGACUUAAAUCCCAUAAGAAAUUUAUUUUGAAUUGAUUAGAUAUUAUUUGAUAGACAAAAAAAAUUUAAAAAAAAAAAAGAUUUUCAAUAGAUAAGUUUGACUUACAAGAGAAAAAUUUUAAAAGAAAAAAUAUUCUUAAUAGGUAAAUUUCACUUGUAGGAGAAGAAUUCUAAGAGGAAAGAGAUUCUUAAUAUGUAAGUUUGUAUAAUUAUAAAUACGUGAAGUCUUUACAAAGUAAGGUAUGAGAAAAAUAUGUAAAAGAAUUAUAAGAUUUUAUGGGUAGGCACCUCAUAAGACUAAUGAAGAUUUACGUCUUAUGGAUGUGUGUAUAUUUGUUUGUGAAUGGACUAGAAGAAACUGAGAGGAUGUGUGUAUAUUUGUUUGUGAAUUGACUAGAGGAAAUGAGAGGAUCCACAUAGGUAUGAUGUAUGCGUACAUAUGAGUAUGUAUUUGAUUGUAUUGAAAAAGUGCGUAAGGGUUUGUGUUUGUUUGAGUUGAGAAUACUCUAUAGGACUAGAGUAGAUUGAGUGAAUCUAUGAGUAUUAAUUGUUGAGUGGUUGAUAUGCUUGAUUUAUAUUUGUAAUUAUUUACAACUAGUGAAUCUUGUUUAUUAUCCAUGGAUGUAGAUCAGUUAGAUUGAAUCACGUUAAAUUAUUAUAUCUUAUGUGUUUGAUUCAUUAUUUGAUUUCAUGCAUAUGGGUAUGUGUUUGGUUGUGUUGAAAGGGUGCACAAGGGUUUGUGUUUAUUUAGAUUGAGAAUACUCCAUAAGACUAGAGUAGAUUGAGAGGAUCUAUGAAUAUUAAUUGUUUAGUGGUUGAUAUGUUUGAUGUAUAUUUGUAAUUUUUUAUAACUAACAAAUCUUGUUUAUUAUUUGUGAAUGUAAAUCAGUUGAAUUAAAUUACGUUAAAUUAUUGUCUCUUUUGUAUUUGAUUCAUUGUUUGAUUUCACUUUUGUUAGUGUGAUUGGAUUGAGGCUUUUUGACCUAACAUAUCAAAAAUGUGGUAAUCUCUAACAUCUCCUUCGUAUCCUUCAUCCUUGUUAGUCCUUGUAAAUCGAUGACUUUCUUCUCUUAUGAUAAUACCUUACCACUUGUUGGUCUACCGAAAUGGAAAAAGACUGGUAGGAAGACUUGCAGGGGUCUUGGAAUCUUUACUUGAGCCAGUAAGCAGUUCCAACCACACUUUCAUUCACUCACUCCACAAUCAAAGACUUGACAUCAUUAUCACCUUACCUUCCUAUUUAUAAGCCAGAGCUUACUUCGACGUUGAAUUACUAUUUGCAACCCACUUUUAUAGUAGUUCUCUUGUUUAUUGCAAUUUUUUAUGCUUUUUUUGUUUUUUUUAGAAAACUAUAUCCAUCUGAGUUUUAUGGGGUCGGAAUACCCGUACCUCUACUUUGCAUAGGUGGUGCAUCUGCUAUUUUUUAUUGUUUUAUUGCUAAGACAGAUUUCUUGUUCCAUAUAACAUUAUGGUCCUUUAUGUUCAGUAAUCUUUCCAUUCUUGUCAUUCAUGAUAUCCCAGAAGUAGCAGUGCUGGCCUUUAUUUUGUAUCUUGUUUUACUAUUCUUUUUUCCUUUGGAUUUCGUAUUCAUUGUCAUCCUUAUCGGACGAGUUUUUAUUUCUCCUGAAAUUUCUCAAUGGGGUUUCGCUCUUAUUACACAACUAACAAACAUUUCUCUUUUUUCUUUAUUGGAUGAAAAAGAGGAGAACCCAAUCUUCUUUUCAAACAUUUUCAUUUUUAUUCUGCUAUUUAUUUUGGGAUUUUUAUAUUAUCAAGAUCCAACCCAUCGAUAUUUUAUGAUCUUCGUAUUAGCUUUAGCUGGGGCUUCAGCUAUCUAUUUUCUAUUCCUAAGCAGGACGGGCUUGUGGCAAGUUCUGUCUUUUUCAAUUUAUUUUCUGAUAAAUCUAUUAUUAGGAAUAUCACAUUCCAAUAAUGAAAGAACCCUGUUCGGUGUACCCGAUGUGACUCUCAUUUACAUUCUGGUAAAUCAAUUAAUGUCUCUUUUUUUAGUUAUUACUAGUAAAGUAAGAGACGAUAAACUGUCUCUGGUCAUUAAUGAAGGAAAAGAAAUGCUGGUCUUUGUAUAUAUAGUUAUGUUAUACUUUCUUAGUCAAAAAUUACAUCAUGAUUGUUUAUGGUUGGAGGUUUGGAUUGAUAGUAUGAGUUUUCAGAUAGGGUUUUUAUCUCUUUUGAGAUUCUUAAUAAAAAGAAAGAAAAACACCAAAGAGUAGAUGAUUAGCCGAUGUAUGUAUUAUGCAACGGGUAUACGAAAUCCCCCGGAUCGAUUUUAGGCAUUCACAAGGUUCAAAGAAAGGGUGGGACAUUGAGAAAAGGAUAUGUAUACCAAUCAAUAUUAAAAUAACUUUCUCUA